rnacentral:lncRNA from 1 species
AAAAAAAAAAAAAAAAGUGUGCUUGUCUGUAAAGUCACUGAUUUGAUUGAUAAGUGCAAGGAUCAUCACUUUUUGAUUAAGGCAUGUGGCUAAAUAAUCUCGAUUGUUCUCGUGACUUGUACUAGUAUUAUCUUAUCAGUACGACUUUAAUCAUAUGGUAAAAUGACUUUAGCAACUGUUUAGGAUUUAAAGUGCAUAAUUUUUCUUACAAUAUAUCGCUGAUGAAGUCGUUGAAACUUGAGGCAUAAAAUUAUAGCAAUGUUCUGAGUAAGGGGUCAAUUUAGCAACACCGGAAGAUCCUAAAUUUUUAUAAUUCCUUCACCACAAUCUAUGUUUUCAUUUUCCUUUUGACAAAACACCUAACAACUUCAAAAUUUCAUUGACUUAAAUUUUAAUAUAAUUAUAAAUAUAUACCAUGUAAAGUAGGCAACGUUACGCGACAUAAUUAAAACAGAUUUAAAUGCUUAAUCCAACAUUGAUCCUAGAAUUUUACAUUAGUAUUGUUAUAAAAAUAAUUAAUAGGUAACAUGACAUCGAUUAAAAUUAUUCAAAAGGGGGUUGGUCAUUCAUUCGCUAGCCCCUGGUCCCUUCACAGAUAAGGAAGACUCUGACUCCCGUAAAGGAAAUGUCAAUUUCACAGCCAUGAGUCAAUCUUGCAACAGAGUUUGUAUUGACCACUCAAUAUGCAGAUUCAAUGCAAGUUCCAUUUUCUUGACAAAACAUUUCAGCCUUAAUUUAUAUAUUUCAGAGAACAAGGCAUGCGUCAGUGAUUUGUUCACGUCUUGAUGUUUCCUUUGCCCCCUUUUACCUUUUUUUUUUUUUUUUAAUAUCACUUCCCCACUUCUAAAUGUUAAGUUAUCAUGCACGUUAUUUCCAUUUCAGACACUUUUUUUUUUCUCUUCUUUAUAAAUAAACCUUCUACAAUUUCUGCUAACCCCCCAAUAAAAAUGGUAAUUUAAAUUAUUUUAAAAAUAUAUAUUCAACAAAUAAUUUUAUAUGUGGCUGCAAGGCUGCAACCUUCCCCAGGUGUUGAAAUGUACUUUCAACUUUUAAGCUGUUAAGAGUCGGUCUUAUUUGGCCACUCAAGGUUGGGAGUAGGAAGCAACGAGCAAUCUGAGGUUAUGUAGAAUAACUACAAAUUAAUAAAAUAUUAUCCUGAUGAUGUUGAGUCUGCGUUCACACGUUUUUGAAGACAUAUUGCAUUCGACUUCUAGAAGACAAUGUUGUUUCAAAAUUUGACUAAAUUAUUCGAAUGUAUCGAUGUACACAAGUCAUUGAAAUUUGCUGCCGAGGAGCAAGUAAAUGGCCUUCCAACUGGCAACUUAAUUAAUUAACUUAAUUAAUUAUAACAAAAUUAAAAAAUACUGCUGCUAUUUGACAAUUUGUUUAUCGUCCUUAACAAGCACUAAGAAAGCGACCAAAUUUCUGCAGUUUCGUUGUUUCUUUUCUUUUAGGCAACAUUAAUUAAUAUACAUGUUUGAUUUGUGGGGUUCUCUUGAUCUUAAUUUGACACGGUAAAUUCAGUUGAUUACUUUCUAAAUUGAUAAACAAAUUUGAAAGAAUAAUAUUAAAUAUAAAAAGUUAUUUACCUAUUAAAGACUUUCUAAUUUUUCCCGUCAAUUGAUUAACUAUAAAAUCUGGAAAUCAUAUAAGAUUUUCAAAUCAAAACCCAUUUUACAAGAAUGAAUAAACGAGCCAAUGGUUAUCAAAUAGCAAUUCAAGAUUCGUGCUCUGAUACGCAAUAUCAUAAUCAGGAUUAAGUUGCCGACUUGUUAAUAGACUAUGCGGAAAUUAAAAAGUUUCCUAGUUUACUAUGUGGAUGGAUAAGUGAAAAUCUUUGUCCGGUGAAAUUCGAGAUGUAUGAUCUUAUUAAAUUUGACCAUUUGUCUUCAUUAAUGUGACAUUUCAUGGAACAUUUCUUUCGAAGUUUUGCUUCUUGGAAAGAUCAGUCUCGUAAAGGCAGCACUAUUCACUUAGUAUCCUAACUCUUGUGGUAAUAAUUCCAGGAGAGGUUAAUUGAUCUUACUUACGCAACAUGCAUUUACGAUGAUUUUUUGUUAAAAAAAAAAAAUCCAAAUUUUACUAUCUUUUAUUUUUAUAAGAAAAUGGUGUCAUCAUAGUAAAUAAUUGGUCUGUUUUGAUAGAUUUACUAGAUUCCUAUACUAAUGAACUAAUUGUUGGAAGAAGAUUAUAAACAGUCACAUAUUUUAAAACUUAAGUUUCAACAUGUGCCUGCACUUUUAUUUUUUAAUUUAGGCUCGUUUAGCAUUAAGGUGUUGUGUCGACUGUUAUAAAAAAAAUUUGUAACUAUAAAAUAAAAAUUGACAUUUCAAAAUAAAUAUGAUUUAUAAAAAAAACCCUAAAGAAUUAUAAAACAUUUAAUAUAUAAAUAUAAAAUAAAAUAAACUUAAUUUUUAAAUUAAAAUAAUAAAUAUUUAUCAAAUAUUUCAUUAUAAUAAUUUUAAAUUAUAACAAUGCUCUCACGUUUGACAAAAUAGCACCUUAGUGUUGUAUUAUUGUUAAAUAAUGAUACAAAGAGGAGAGCUUGUCAAUUUAUAACGGAUAAAGGAAGGAAAAAGAAAAUUCACAAGUUAGUGAUGAGAUCUGCGUUCCAAUGGAGGAUGCCAGAUUGCCAGAUACAAUCAAUCACAUUCACUUUUGUAUUUGAUUUUUUUCGGUCAAAACACUUGAUUACAGCGGCGUGAGAAUGACUUGUUCACAUCAGAGUCUACAUCAACUUUUUAAAGGCAUGAGUAGGGGAAUGAUUCAUUGUUCAUAGUUAUCUUGAUGGUGCCUAUAUUUCUGUAAAUGGGUUUUCUUUUAACUUUAAAAUGACAUUUUCGAUUAGCUAUUUAGCUUGGCCGAAACAUGUACAGGAAAUUAUGAGCAUUAUUGUUUUCCAUUUUUUUGAAGCAUGCCAUUAGUGGAAUAUCAUCACUUACCAUCAUAGUAAGAUUCAAAUCUACACGCAUCCUCACCACAAUCGAUAUUUGAUACCAAUUUCGCAUUUAAUUUUCUCCUUAAAAUAAAUAUAUAAUUCGACUGAAAAAAGGGAGAAAUAAUUAGAGGAAUAUUGAGAAAAAUAGUUAUUACAUUACUUAAUUAUAUAGUUAAAACACGUGACAUAUUACGAUUUGUUUUUUUUUUGUGGGGGGGGCGCAGUUCUACCAAUUAUAUCAUGAAAUGAGUGUGAAUUACAUUUGUUCGCUUUAUUUUCCCCCUCAAGAUCAGAGAUAAUGGAAAAAAUUUCCACUUCUUUCUUCUUAUCACUUAUCUUCUCUUAUAAUCAUCAAAUCAUGAGCUAAAUUAUUCUCUUAAAUACUAUUAAACUAGCACUAAGUUAUUAUCAUUUGAAAAUUAAUGACUAAAUAAAAGUAUAAAACAAUCCCCCACAAUAAAAAAAUGAAGUUUUCAAGCAUGGUAGGUUUGAAAUUUAAUUGAAGCCAAAAAAGGAAAACCGAUAACAUACCGUAUAAAUAAAGACACAACGCUAAAAUUUUGAUAGAUUUAAAGAUAAAAAUUACUUAUAGUUUAGCAAUACAAACCUUUUUUUUAUAUAUAAAAAGUAAGCUUUUUAUUAAUUCACAUUAGUGAAAACUGAAAAUAUUUAAUCUUUGCUGGUAGAGUUCAGCCAUACAAUAAGACUAUUGUGUCCUAAAGUUAAUUCAGCUAAGGAGUGGGCAUAAGCAAUAAAUUAUUCAAAGAUGCAUUGAUAUUUUACAUGUUGAAAAUCUUUAUUGUUACUUUGGAGACUAUCCAUAAAAUUUCCGAUUUGCUGCCCUGCUUGUUGUUUACUAAUCUUGCAACAUUCUGACAGUCAAUUUUUACGGCUUUAGAUUGAAACUCUGUAUUUUUAGCCGCCUGAAAAUCUCGUUUUACAAUUUCAAUCGCUGAAUAUUUAACAUUUUCACCAACUUGAAUUUGCUUAAUUGCUGCAAAUACAAAUCAUAUUUGGUAAGCAUUAUCUAUCGUGAAAGACUCUUUAUCUUGUAAUAGGUAAAAAUUCUCAUAAUUUUCCUCUAAAUUUAAAAUCAUUGCUAUUUAAUGAAAAUCUUAUUAUGCAAAUUGAAAAGGAAACCUAUCGUUCAAAAAAAAAUGAAGAAACAUAAUUACUGAAAAUUUCACAACGCAAAUUGAAAAGGAAAAUAUAUAUUAAUGAAAAUCUUGUCAUGGGACCAGAAAAAGAGAAAUAUUUAAUGAAAUCUUUAUAUGCAGUAUCUUCAAUUGACCAAAUGAUAACAAAAAUCACAUGAUUUUUUUUUUUUUUUGAAUAAUUUAGGUAAGGUAUCAACAUCUUAUGGUUCGGAUGAGAAAGAACCCGAGGCAUUGUAACCUCUUUUAAAUAAAUAAAUUCUUAGAUAUAAUUUAAAAAAACAUAUAUAAAAUAAUGGGACUUAGUUUAGUCUAGCCCAUCUUAGGACCAUCCGCACAUCAGCAAUGCUCAUGCAAUAAAUUAAUGAAAAAGGAAAGCCAAGGAAACAGAAUGUGAAUCAUCACGCUCUCAAUGUCAAAACACCUCGUGGCAAUAGACUUAGCAAUUGAAAUUGCAAUUAAUUGACUCGUUAUGGUCAAUGGAGCGAUACAUCGAGGAGCAAAGACAUGGGACCCCACAAGUCCAGAUUAAAAUAUUAUAUAUAUACACACAUAUUAUUUUUCUUUGUUAUUUGCACAUUAGAUUUUUCAGUCUUGUGUGUGUAUAAAAUUAUGAUUUUCUCUUAGUUUGAUUAUGUACUAAAUAAAUAAUUUAAUUAUUAAUAGAUAGUUAAUAAAUAAAAAUUAAAUUUUAUCUAUAUAUUAUUAUUAAAAGAUACAUAAUAAUAAAUUUUAAAAAAAUUAAAAGAAAUCAGACGAGGGGAUGAUCUUUUUCUAUCUAAAUUUAAAAAAUAAAGAAAAGAAAAAAGAAAAAUCAAAAGAAUUUAAGGCCCUCGAUAGCAUAAAUACCAAGCAGACGUACAAAGCCAGAUGGCUCGUCUUUAUAGUUAGUAACGGCUCUGUUCUGUUUCUCCCCCUCUCCCUGUCGUUCAUGCAUUAGCAAAUCCUCACCCAUUUAAAUUCAUCAUCACCCCCACUUCCGAAUUUCUCAUCAACCCCCUUUCUCCUCUGUCUCCUCUCUAUGUGCUUUUGUGUUUUCGGUUUUUCAUAACAAAAAAAAAAAAAAAAAAAAAACGAAAGGAAAAAAAAUUAGAAGUAGUAGCCAUGGUGGUUCAGUCACAGCCAGCAGCAUUAGACCCUUUAUCAAAUUUAAUCAAAUCAUGCAAGCCGACGAGUCUGUUCACAGAAAUUCCUGAAGUAGACCUCACGGACCCUGCAGCUAAGACUCAAAUAGUAAAGGCCUGUGAGGAAUAUGGCUUCUUCAAGGUUGUUAAUCAUGGGGUGUCAUUGGAGCUCAUGAACAAAUUAGAAGCUGAAGCUGUCAAAUUCUUCAGUCAGUCUCAGUCUGAGAAAGACAAGGCUAGCCCUCCUGACCCUUUUGGCUAUGGCAGCAAAAGAAUUGGCCCUAAUGGUGAUGUUGGUUGGAUUGAAUAUCUCUUACUCAACGCCAACCCUCAACUCACUUCCCACAAAACUCUUGCCAUUUUCCAAGAACGCUCACAGAAAUUCCGGUAUAAUAAUAACAACAACAACAACAACAAUAAUAAUAAUAAUUCAACAAAGCCACCUCUUUUCCUUGUUUUUCUUGUUUGGUUUUCAUUAGUUUAAUAUUAAAAGUUUUGGACUUACAUGUGUAUGGAUAUGGUGUUAAUUUGGUGGUUGUGUGUAUGCAGGCGUGCGGUGGAUGAGUACAUAGUAGCAGUGAAGAAAAUGUCAUAUCAGGUAAUGGAAUUGAUGGCAGAUGGGCUGAACAUAACGCCAAGGAAUGUGAUGAGCAAGUUAUUGAAAGAUGAAAGGAGUGACUCGUGCUUCAGGCUGAACCACUACCCGCCUUGCCCAGAUCAUCAGCUGCAAGCAUUGAGUGGUAGAAAUUUGAUUGGGUUUGGGGAGCACACUGACCCUCAAAUUAUUUCUGUCUUAAGAUCUAACAACACAUCUGGCCUCCAAAUCCAACUCAGAGAUGGCACUUGGGUUUCAGUCCCAUCUGAUCAAUCUUCUUUCUUCCUCAAUGUUGGCGAUGCCUUGCAGGUAAAUUAAUUUUGCAAUACUCCCCUUUUCUUCUCUCUCUCUUCUCCCCUUUUUUAUUAUUUUUUAAAAAAAAAUUUGAGUUAAUGGACUUUUUGAUCUCCUUAGAUACUGUCUUUUAUGGGCCUCUUUUUAUGUUUUUCUUCUAUAUCUCUCCAAAAGCUAAAAGGUUUAUUACUUAUUAGCCACCUAGACGUUUUUAGAAAUUAUAAAAUAUUUUGAGUGGUAAAGUUACUUCUCUAAUUUCUAUGAUGGCAAUAUUUUUAAUGAAUUUUAUUAUUAUUAUUAUUAUUAUUAUUAUUAUUAAUGAAUUUUAUUAUUAUUACUACUUUGUUUUAAGGAUUGUGAUUUAUUAUUACUGAUGUGGGCAUGGGCUUGAUUGAUGCAGGUAAUGACUAAUGGGAGGUUCAAAAGUGUGAAGCAUAGAGUGUUGGCUGACACUAACAAAUCAAGAAUUUCAAUGAUAUAUUUUGGAGGGCCACCUUUGAGCGAAAAGAUAGCGCCUUUACCAACUCUAUUGGCAGAAGAAGAGGAAAGCUUGUAUAAGGAAUUCACAUGGUGUGAAUACAAAAUGUCUGCAUACAAGUCAAGGUUGGCUGAUCACAGGCUUGGGCUGUUUGAGAAAACUACUGCCAAACGAUCUGGUCAAAUUUCCCCAAAUUAGCAAAUAUUAGGGUUUUUGUCGAAGUUUUCAAAAGUAUGGACAAAACUUGCCACAGAUGGAAAACAAAUAGGUUGUACUUUUUUUUUAUUUUAUUUUUCAAUUUCUGCCUUAGUUCUUAAAUGCAACCACUACUACCUAUGUACUAUUUACGCAAGUUUCUCAUCUUUAUGUAUAAUACACCGUUAAAUAUAUUAUGUUAUAUUUCCUUUAAUCACCGUAAGUUUAAUGUUUCUUAUAAAAAUGAUGCUGCUUAAGUGUCCUUUUAAUUGGAACAUUCCCAUUUCUACACUAUUUUUAUUCUUUAUUUUUUUUUUUCAAAAAUUCAUUUAUCGGUAUCACAACAUACAGAGAAUACUGAAAUCUUUGUGAGACAUGACUAUUUUCAAAUUAUAACACACUAUAUAUAGUGGUUUUUUUAUUCGAAAUUUUAAAGUGUGGGAUAAUUCAGGAAAGUUUUAAAACUGUACGGUUUUAAAAUAUUAUGAAAUUUAAUAUUUUAAAACGGUAGGAUUAUAAAAUAUUAUGAAAUUAACAAAAUAUAUAUAUAUAUUUCCACACCCGAUUCAAUUACCAAAUCAGUUGUUUUGUAGCCGCUUGAAUAUGAGCUCAAAUCAGUUUGCUCUUCCCGUUGUAUUAGGUUUUAAAAAGAUAGGGAAUGAGAAAAAUUCAAAUUAACUUUUUAGUCUCCAACUUCAUGUUGUUAUUAUAAAAUUAGAUAUAUUAGAAUUUUUAGUCCCACCUAAGAUGCCACAAGCAAACAUUAUCAUACAAGUAGUAAGCAUACAAAUCGAUGGGGAAAAAAAAUCAAUUAUAAAUCAUCGAUUUUAAGAAGCAUCCUUUAUUUUAAUACCUUAUGGAUCAAGCUAAAGCAUAAAAAUAUUAAUAUCAAUAUAUUACAAGACAAAUUAAAUUGCAUUUAAAAUGGAGUUUUUUCUUGUUUGAUCUUGACUCUAGUGGAUCCCUAAUUUCAAUAUGUAUAUAUGUAUGUGGGUGUGUGUGUAUAAUUCUCUAAUGAUGACAUCUUCAUUUGAAAAAAGUGAAACUGUCACUAACAAAUAAAUAAGUACAUAUUUUAAAAUACUAACAAAUUGCAUUGAAAUAUGUGUUUAUUUGUAUUUCAAUAACAUCUUUAUUUUAUUAAAAUGAGAAUGCACUCAUUAGAAAAAGGGAAUUUGUGCGUAUGUAUGUAUAUGUAUGUGUGUGUGUGCGCGCACAUGCAUAUAUAUUGAAGUUUGUUUUUUUUUUUUUUGUCUGCUAAUAGCAUCCUCACUUUGUUAAAAUAAAUAUGCUCUCAUUAUUAUAUAUAUAGGUAUUUCUCCUAACAAAGUAUUGUGAUUUUUAUCCUCACAUGGUAUAAUAUAGAAUUGUUAAUUGUUAAAUUAAACUGGCAUUGAAGUAUUAAUUAUGCACCAUACUUGGUGCCACAAAUGUUCACCUUAUCAACCAUAUACUUUAUAACUAUUGUAUCAUUAAAACUUGGGGGAUUGUUAAUUUUCCUCUUUUGAAAUUAUUAUAUCCCACUUAUCUCUUUACCGUUUUUAUAAUAUUAAAAAAUUGUCACUAAACUUUUUUAAAAAAAAGUAGGGAUAAAUGGAUUAUUUGUUUGAUAAUUUAUCUUAUAAAUAUAAAAUAUAUGUUUAUUAUAAGAAAAAUGUUAAAAAAAUCAAAAAAUAUAAGAAACAUAUCUUAUUUUAAAUAUUUUUUUUAUUCACACCAAAACAUAUAUUUUCUUAUUUUUAACACUUAGAUUUUUUAAAUUAAUUUCUAUCAAUAUGAUUUAUUUAAUUUAUAAUAAGUAUGAGUAAAAAUAUAUUUAAAAAUAAUGAUAUUUCUGUAAAAUUAUAUCGCUAAAGAGUGAUUGGCUAUUAAAAAAAAAAAGUGAUAUAUACUAAUUUUUAUAUGAGAAAAACUGACAACCUCACUUGAAAUUUACUGGAAGCAAAGUCCCAAUUAUUGCAUACGCCCGUACAAAAAGAUGCGCGUCAUUUUUUUUGGUUUUUCUGGGCAGUUACUCAAUUAGGUGUCGCUCUUUCUAGACAUAAUGGGUUAUGGAGAGAGGGAGGGACAAGCUAAGCUCCACAUCCUCGUUCAAAUAAGAGAGACUGCUGAGCUGAUGACCAGAUUCUGAAAAUGAAAGAUUUUACUUAUUAAUGAAGAUUGAAGAGCUUUAGUGCCCAAGUCUUUUCAUGAAGAGUUUGUAUUGACUAACCAACUGGUGUUUUACCAUCUCAAUCCGACAUUUCAAUUUAUGAUUCGGCAUUCCAUUACCUCUUCCAAUAAAUGAGAUGGCAUUACAAUCCACUAAUUAUAUGAUCAGUAAGUAUUGGCAUUUUUUUUUUCUAGCUCAGUGAUCAUCGGCAUUAUUGGACGCAUUUUUGUAAUGACAUUUUUUCAAUUGAUUGGAAGUGUCAAAUAUAAUAGAGGUCAGUGUUCUAGUUAUUAUUUACUGUAGAAAUUUAGGAUCUUUCAUACUUUUAAUAUUUCAGUCCAAAAGUUUAUGAGUAUAGUUUAAAAUUUUGAACUUAUCAAGAGGUGAGAUCUCCACCUUAAUAAAUAAGAAUAUAUUUAUCUCUACUUUAAAAUAUAGGAGAAAAACCAGUGCUCUCUCCACUGAUUACUACGAAAGGCAUGAGUAGUAAUCAGCAGCAUUUAAAUUGCCAAUUGCCCCCAACAAUAAGUUGAUAUUAUAACUUUUCAAUCAUCCAUACUUAGAUAAACUCUUACUCUUAGAAGUAGCUUUCCCACUUCAAAAUAAUGAUCCGAAUAUUAUGUUUUUUAUUUUUCAAAGUAUUGGGAUGAAAUGGUAAUAAUAAAUCGAUCAUUUGGUUAAAUAAAGUAGUUGAUUAUUUUAAGGGAUAUGGUUCGCUAUAUUCCCCUGAUUUAGUGCUUUCACUUGCUAUUUUUUAUUUUAAUAAAUGGCUCCUUUAAUCGAGGUUUUCUUCAAAAAGAAAAAAUAAAUAAAUAAAUAAAGUUGACGCGCUUGUUGUAGAGACUAUAGUGAUGAACGAUUGAUAAAUUUGGCACUAUGCUUAGUAGCAAAUGGUUGACAUAUUCAAUGUGUAACAGGAAAGUUUUUUCUUUUAAGUCUCUCCGAUUUUAUACUGUUGAAUAUUGAUAAAAAAAGAAACUUAGGUCUUUCAUGUUUUUCACUUUUACUCCACAGCUCCGCUUUAUAGUCUGUGGAGAAAAAGCACAAUUUUUGACUUCUUUUACUAUUACAACUUUAUAUUAUUAUAUAAGUCUAAAUGACGUGUUUAUUGAAAUGUGCAUGCAUGUCAAGUGUUGUUCUAUAUGUUCAAAAGUCAAAUUUAUCCUUCUUUUUUAUUUUUUAUUUAUUUAUCAUUCAACAGUACAGUUCAAAUACUAAAAUUAGAAUGUCCGAAAUGUAAUCGGCAAUUAAAAUAAAUUUAAGAACAUAAGCGGUAAAAAUGAUAAAUAUUGGGAGGAACUAAGGAUCCUCAACCUGUACAAUGUCUAGGAAAUUAACAUCCAUUCAAUUUUCUUUUGGUUCUUUUGUAUAGAAAAUGUGGGUUUUAUGAGUUGAUCAAGUGCAUAGUAGUUUUUCCCUUCUAGCUAGCUAGCUACGACUACAAUGCAUCUGAUGCAUUUGAUAGAUCGAUUUGAAUAAAUGUGAAGUUUUUACAUAUAGUAGUGGUAUGACGAAUAUAACUAUUUUUCCUAAUUUAUUAGUGGUAUGAAGAAUAUAAUAAGGGGUUUGGUUAUGUUGGAGUUGCUCUAAGGUAGAGCACUCAUUUAUAACCACACGAUCAAAGUUAUAAUGUGUUUUUUUACUAUUUAUCAUUUUGUGUGUGUGGCUGAGAUUUGUGCUCCACCGUAGAUUUGUUCCAACAUAGCCAUAGUCUAUAAUAAAACAUAAAGAAACUGGUGCAUUACAGAAUUUUCUUGUACUUGCAAAAUCACUAGUGGAUCUGAUCUAUUAUAGUCUGACCCUUUUUCUUCUCCUCAUGCUCGACAAUUGUACUUUGUUGUGUUAUAGAUACUUGCCAACGAUAGAACACUUAAACAAAUUUGACAGUUUUUUUUAAUUACAUGAGACAAUUGAUCAUAUUACGAUUCAUAUUACAUGAGAUUACAACUAAUAUUUACAAUCAGAUAAUUACUGAGAUUAGUUUACAUUAAAUUUUAUAUAGCACUGCCCAUAUUUUAACUCGAGAAACGUUAGCUCCACUCACAUUUUUGUGGGGGUGGGGCUUGGAACCACACAUAUUUGACAGUUACUCCUUGAAUUUAGUACUUUUGAAUCAAAAGCAAUUAAUGUCAAGCACCCAAAGCAAUUAGUCAGCGAGGUAAAAUAAUCUUUUUUGGCAAAAUCGUAAUAUAUGAUGAUCUCAAUUAUCAAGCGUUUUGUAUAUUAUGGAAAACUUUAGGAGCAAGGUGAUAAUAACCCUGGUAUAUAUAUUAUAUAUGUGAGGUAAAAUCUUGGGAAUAUAUAAACUGCCAUGUAUAUAACAUACAGCUUCAUUGACAUAAAGAGGUGUCCGACCAGUGCCCUAAUGUUUGUAGAAUUAUUAAAGGUUCAGUCGUAUUCUCUGCUUAGAAUCCAGGAACAUUAUUUUUGCACGGAUUCCUCAAAGGUACUUGAUAUAAUUUUCUCAUCAGCGCCCAUUUACCUAAAAGGAAAUACGAUCCAAAACAUAUAUGGCAAAAAAAUGUCGUAGUGUUUGCAUUGUGCCUGCCUAUUUUUGACCUAGUCAUCCUUUCGAAACCUAGCUCUCUAAUAUGAUUGGUUCCAUUUCCAUAUAGUCAACAUAUUUCACACAAGAUUUUUCUACGUACAUUAAGGAUAAUGUACAAAGAAUUUGUUGCCACAGACAUGGUACUAACAACACGUGAAAGGUUUUAUUAUUUCAAUCUUGAUGAGCUGUUUGAGUUUACUGUGUCGUGUUGACAGACAAUAAAAGAUAUUUAGAACAUGAGCUGUUUUUGUUGGAAACGAUUUCGAUCAGCUACUACGAUCUUUGAGAAGAGACGCUGCCCUGACAUUGUAUAACUAAGGAGUAACGACGUGUGUAUAUAUAUACACACACACUUCAGCUAAACACAUCCGAUGGUAAAAGGUAUAUAUAUAUAUAUAUAUAUAAUAUGGUCCUUCUCUAAUGCGGGCGUUCUCAUUUUAUUUUUAUGUGGAUACACUCUAAAAUCGUGGGGUUUAAGAGAAUUGGUUUUUAACUCUCUUAAAUUCUAUGAUUUUAUAGUUCAUUAAAAAAUUAAUCCGCAUUAAAAAAAUGUGACAUACUUGAGAAUGAUUUAUAUAUAACAUAUAUAAGAGCUCAAUUUGCGAUGGAGCUGCUCUUAAUUGUUUUGUGUACGUUGUUUACUUAUUUUAAUUGUUGAUGGUAUAAAGGCAUCUCUAGUGCCCAAGUCUUUGUCCCUGCUCCCUAAUCUUCAAUGUUGAAGAAUAUUGCCGAUUGUCUACCGUAUUGAUUGCUAUAAACUGAUGUUUAACGAAUGUGUCUUUCAUAUUUGUUUUAUAAUCAUGCAAAUUUGGUUGAAUGAAAAUUUCUCUUUGUUUUAUUUGACUUUUAAAGAAAGGUAUGUCCUAACCAUAUAAAUGAAUUUGUGUUUCAUCAUUUUGUUGAAAAGAAAAUUAUAUAAAAUAAAUUAAUUGACGUGUAACUUAUGCUCUGACUAACUAAUAAUGAGAUGCGCGCAGAUUUUUAUAUUUUUAAUUAUUAAUAAAAAGAUGAAGAUCCUCUUCUUCUUAUUAUUAUUAUUUUUUUCUCUCUUAUAAUCUUUCCAUCAUAUUAAUCAAGAAAAAUAAGAAACUUCUUUGCGGAUCACCAUUGAAAUCAAAUGAGAUUGUUCCAAUAAAUCUAAGAAAAGUGCAUAAAUGCCUCUAGAAUAUAUCAUUAAAUUCUCGUAAAUAGAAAUAAUAAUAAUAAUAAUAAUAAUAAAUUAAAAAAACGGCGGAGAGCAUGCCGUUUUUUUGUUCGAAAGGUCGCUUUCCAGUCAAAGAACCAGUCACAAUAAAGAAUUUUCCUUCGCAAGAGCAUCAAAUCAAAAGAAAGGGAGUUUACGUAGGUAUAUUAUUUAUUUUCACGACGAGAGAAAAAGUUAUCCCGCUAGUUUGGGCAGUUUGUUAUUGGCUGAAAGCAACUUAGUUGAAGCUUUAUCAAUUAUCACGGCCAGCUGCUCAAUCUGUCUCUAAGUUGGUGCUUACGCAAGACAUUGCGCCAUCUUGUUGUGAUCAAAAUUGAACGGUUGUUUUCAACCGCAAAUCUUUGCUCCUCUUCAAGUUCAUGCAAUCCAGAAAACACUAUUAUUAAUUAUUAGUAACUUUUUUGACAUUCCCUCUUCAUAAAUUAGGUUACUUGGCAUUCUUCCAGGAUUUGGUCUUCUUUAAACUUAGUCGUUGAAAUUUGAAAACUUUCUGACAAGUGCUGCUGCUAUUGGAUGUCGCUCUCGCAUUGAAUCGUGUUUAUUCUUUCGGCCGCCAGGUUCACUGAAUUCAUAAAUGCCAUAAAUAGUUUCUUCUGCUAGCAUAUAUAAAUCUUUUUUAUAUUCACAAUUAUAAUAUAUUUUUUUUCUGUUUAAUUCACUAUAUUUUGAGAUUUUAUUUAUUAAAUCUAAAAUUCAUAUAAAACAUCUAGGGUUCCGUCUGCAACUAUCUUUUGUUUCAGCUAUGAAAGUUUGAAAGUACAUAAAUUAAACACCACCGGCUUUGCAUAUAAAUUUACAAGUUGUAACCAGAUUUACUUGAUGAUAGAAAAAUCGAUAUAUCCCUUAUUUUACAACAACAGUUGGUUAAAUUUUACAAUGUAUGCCUUAAUUAAGAAAUGGACACUUAGACUAGUCGAAUCAAACCUGCUUAAUUUGAUGAGUGUUUUACUGAAAAUAAUAUAUUAACCCACGGGGAGAUUAUUCUAGUAUUCAAAUCCACAGCGGCACAGCUCAAGUGAUGAUAUUGAAAAUUGGUUUUACAAAAAAAAUAAAUAAAUAAUAAAAAUCGAAAGAACGAACACGAGGAGCACUACAUCAAUAUCAUGUGGGGGCUGGAGUUGUCUGAAGAAGAACGAUAAAAAUGAAAAGUUGGUGAUAUAUAUAAAGACCAAAGUUGGAUGAGAAUUAUGCGGUCCGACAAAGAAGUCAAUAAUCUCAAAUGAUUUUGGGCAAGUUGGUGAUUAUACAAAGAGGGCAACGAACGUUAAAUUACAUAUGCUGUGGUCCUUAGGACCACUUUUGUUCGUUAGGUACCUAUCAAGAAGAAUAAAAUGUUUGACAUAAAUUGCCCGUUUCAUGGGACGUACAAGUGUUCCAUUUAUAUACCACCCAAAGAGGACCCUAAAUUUUUUUUUUUUUUUUUCUUUUCUUGCGGUAUUCGAUUGAACAUUCCGCAUAAGUAUGACUUGGAAAUUAUAAUUCAAAUGGUCAGUGAAUAAAUAUUUUGUUUUAACUCACAAUGGGAUGAGUCUUUUGAUUUAACUCACGAGGAAGUCCACACUCACACCCCAAAUAAAACAAUAAGUGAGGCUCGACCCAUUAGAACUUAUUCUUCUGCCUUUUGUGUAUCGGGGCAAAGGAGCAGCAAUGUCCCAAUUUACUAUAUCCACAUAAUGCAAAUGAUCUAAUCUCUCUCUCUCUCUCUCUCUCUCUUGGUUGGGGGGGGGGGGGGGGGGGGGGGGGCGGGAAAAAAAGACCUGGACGAUAUAAAAGGAAGGUUAGCAAUUGAAAAAGAAAAUGAUUUGAAUCUUUUACAACGAGCAAGGUUAAACAACACAAUGAUCUAACACAUAGUCCUCAUACUGUCUAAACUCAGUUGUAGAUAAAAUAAAAAAAAUUUGUUGUUUGAUGUGAUGGAAUUUUCCAUCAUCUCUAUAAGGUGCAUUGCACACUCACACUUGUGUUGAAAAGAGGAGGUGACAAGUAUUCGCCCAAUACUCUAACGAGUGCUUUUUCUAUGAGCCUUUGUGGAAGUAUUGGUAAAACAAAUAUCUAUGUUCCACACUCUGCAGCUCUUAAAUUUAUAACAGUUUCUCACUGGGAGAAGCCCAUCCCGAGAGCCCAUAACUCCAUCCUCGGGAAAGCAUCACUGCAUUCAUUAGGCUGCUACUGCCAAUGAGAAAUGGGUCCGCAGUUCAGACUGUGUGCUAUGCCGCCUGUUCACUGGGUCUGCAGUUCAGACUCUGAGCUGUGGCGCUUGAUGUCCAAUUACAGAGCCCAUCAAAACCCAAUCCGCUGUCACAGAAUUAGAUCGAAAUCUUUUGAAAUAUUAUUAUUGAUUUUUUUUUUUUAAGAUUAAAAAGAAAGUCUAGAACGCAAAAGUGUUUGUGAAGAGAAAAAAAUAUAAGAGACUUUUUGGCGUAAUUGUAUGGGUGUAAAGAGUUAGAGAAAGAAAUAUAAGACUAUACUUAGAUUUUUUUUGUUCUUUAAUGUAAUUUGUAAUAGGAAAGGGGUUCUGAAAGGAAUACAUAGGGGUGCAAAUAGUCAAACUCUUCCAUGGAUUCUCUUUGGACCAUAUUUGUUGCAUCACGUUGGCCCCUUGUGUUGUCCAUUUUGCUUUCAUGAAUUGUUGGCCCAGGGUAUGGUAUGACCAUAAAAUUGUUCCAGCAACACGUCCUCCAAAAUUAUAAACUAAGUGGCCGUUUAGAUUUUAGAACAACUGCGCUGUGACAUUUAUUUUAAGAGAAUCCUCCUGAAAUAAAGGGGGUGGAGCAGUUGCCACAGCGCAGCUGCAUAACACAGCUUCUCCAAACGAAUCCUAAUCAUGUAAUCUCAUUGGACAAUGAUCCACACACACACACAUAUAUAUAUAUAUAUAUAUAUGUGUGUGUGUGUGUGUAUAGGUCUUAUUGUAUAUACAUAUAGUAGUUACACGAGAUAAUAUAAGGGAGGUCAUCGAUAAGAUACUGAAUAACAUAAAGAUCUUUAAAAUUGAUAUAGAUUAUCUGCUCGAUAUCAUCAUCAUCAUCAUCAUAGUUGAUAAUAAGAAUAAAAGAAAACUUUUAGACUUGUUAUAUAUUCAAAAACUUGUUCAAAACUAAUAUAAUGAAACAAAUAUAAGAGUUUACUACUAGGUAUUUUACUUAAAAAAUGAGAGUGUUGUUCAUACAUAAUGAUGCUAUGUACCCAUUUUUCAGGGGAUUAUUUCAAAAAAAAUUAUUAAUAUUAAUAUUUGUUCUAUUCUUUUAGUAAUAAUUGCUAUAGUAAUAAUUGAAGAACUCGAUUUGCAGGAAAAAAAAGAAAAGAAAAGCAGAUCAAUUCUACACUCGAUAAAUACCAAUACAUAAUUCUCAAGAGAAAAAAAAAAUGAUUUCUUUGUUCAUUAUAUAACAAACUCUUUUUAAAAUCAUGAAAUUUCUUUCUUUUUUUAGUCACGAAAACUAUCUAGAAACUAUCAAAAAAAGGAUAUAAUUCUAAUAUCUUUUAAUUUCAUGAUUAUUUUGAAUUUUACCUAUCUUGGUUACAUUUGAUUCUCUUGUUCCAUAAAGAGCCUUUUUUUUUUUUUUUUAUAUAGAAUAUUAACACUGUAGUGGUUCUAGUUUAGUGGUAAAAGUGUAAAAUAAGGAAAUGGCUCCAUGUGCUCAAGUUCAUAAUUUGGAUUUUGAUAUAAGAGCACUCACAAAGUGUCUAAAAGAAGGGUUAUCUUGACAUAAGCCUGCUUAGUAGAGAUCUAAAAACAAGUUAACGAAUACUAUCAAUAUCUAUUGGAGGGGCUGCAAUAAAAGCGAUAUAGAAGGUUUAAUUGUCAAAAUUGAAUUUUUAGAUCCGUAGAUUUAUUAACAUCAAGUUCUUUAACUAUUUAAGUUUUAGGUUUUCAUAUUUCUAUUUUUAUUAUCAUUAUUAUGUACCUUUAUCUUUAGAUGUUUAAGAAGAGGAUGACUUAAUCCGGAAUAUGAACCAUAAAAAAAGUUAGCUAUUAAAAUUUAGAAAUGAGAAUAAUAAAAAGAUGUUGGGUGGUUAGUGUCAUAAAAUUUUGUGCAUUCAAAAGUUGUUAUUAAAAAUAAAAAAACUUAUGUUUGAUUAAAAAUAGAUAUGAAUUAGAGGGUUUCAUAAGAAAAGCAGAUUUUUUAUGACACUAUUUUUGGGGUUUGCACCAAAUAGUCGCACCCAACCAAGUCGUUAGAACCAGCCCACCAAAGCACCCUUUUAUAGAAAAGAAGAAACCAUCUCCUCAUUUAAAAAAGUACUAAAAAAUGUUAGGACAGCACGUACACUGUAGAGGAUCAUAACUUCACGGUUUAUAAUUUCCAAAUUUAUUAUUGGUCCCCCACAUGCUUUCUUCCACUCGUUUGGUUCUCCUCCGUUUCAGUUUAGUCUGGCAAUCCAACUCGCUGGCUGUUGUAGCGUAGAAACAGAGAGAGAAAGAUUUUUCUUUUUUCUAAUUUUUAUUCUUUCUGCGAUCUCUCUUUUACUUCGACUCUCCAAUUUAUCUGCAAUGGCCGACGAACCUAUGCCUACCCGCUGGACUUUUCAGGUACUUUGUUUAAUAAAUUCGCUUUGUUAUAUGUAAAUGUAAUUUAGUUUACGUUCUUUAGUAAUUGUGUUUGCUUUCGGCGAAAGUGUAGGAAAAGGAACGAAAGUUCAAACUAGCAAUCUUAGAUGAAUCUCCGACAUCGUUUUAUGACCCUAGAAAACGAGGAACUCAAGUAGAGUGAACUGAAUUUUACUGCAUGGGUUCUUUAGAUACUCACAUUGACUCUGAAUUUUACUUCAUUUUAAUAAUUUUAAAUCUGAAAAGUUAAUUAAGACUAUUUUUCUACUUAAGUCUGCUGGUUGAGAAAAUAUUAAUUAAUAAAUGAUUUCCUGUAUUCAAGUGACGUUGUUUUUGUCAAUUGUGAUCUAACUGAUAAAAGUGUGGAAUAGUAAAGUUCGCAAUAUGCAUUUCUUUUAAGCUAUUAUGUUUAUCUAUAGGAUUUUAAAAUGUUUUAUGAUGCCAAGUUUGGGAGAAAGAAAAUAAAGGAGCCGGAAAAAGGUGAGAUCACUGAAAGGCCGGUAUCUGAUGGGAGUUCUUUGAAUAGCAAUGGGCAUGUUCAAAACACAUCUGACAUGGCCGUUUAUGAGCAGUACAGAACCCAGGUAUUGCAUUUGCUUUAUCGUUUUGGACAGCAAGGUGUUUUUGUUGAUUUGAGUGCUGAUUUUUGCUUUUUGUAGUUCCAGGGAAGUGGCUCUACGUGCUUAAAUGGAGUUUUGGCUAAUGUAAUCAACGAGAGACUGUAAGAGCUAUUGAUUCAUUUUAUACUCCUAUGCAUUAUUAAGAUAAAGAAAAAAAAAAAGGGUCUGAUGCCUUUUUUACUUUAUUGUAAAUGUGAUGAAUUAUUUUUGAGAUGGAUUUCAUACUCUUGUCUACUUGUUGUGUUGUUAUGCCAUUGCCUAUCGCAUCCAAUGCAAAAGUAAACCAUAAAAGCAAAUGCAUGGUCCAAUAGUAAUUAGUUCUAUGAGAAGAUAUGAUGCCAUCGUAUUUUUUGUGUUAGCAAAUUUUUAUUGUUUUUUUAUUACUGCUGGCAUACUGCCUAUUCCUUUGACAAACUGCUGAUUUUGAUUUUUCUGUUUCAGACAGAAGCCUCUGCUUCCUAAUUUUGAUUCUGCAGAAACUCGUGCUUUAGCUGAGAGCUUAUGUAGGUAUGGUUGACUGUUACAGUUAAUGCUUUCAUAUAUGUCUGAAUAGUGAAGAUUCUGCAUUUUAACUUAUUCUUUCAUGGCUUUGUAGUAAUCAUAUUGUUUAAUAUUUUACCCUGUACAGGGAUAUAAUUCGUGGAAGUCCGGAUGUUAAGUGGGAAAGCAUCAAGGGGCUAGAGAAUGCCAAACGUUUACUUAAAGAAGCAGUUGUCAUGCCAAUAAAAUAUCCCAAGUAGGUCUUGCCCCGCCUCAUGGCCCUAGCUAUCUCUAUGCAAAUUUAUAGCAAACCUUUUACUCGUUUUACUUCACUCAAGAUGUGGCAUAGAACGUUAAGGCACAUGACAGAACACCAACCUCAGGGCUCUAUAAUGAAUCGGUACUUGUUGGAACAUUUAGAAAUUGUGUUCCAUGGAGCUUUCUAGCUUUUAAUUUGAUAUGUUAAUUGAGUCCACAAUCUCAUAAGAAAUUGCUGUUAUGUGCUUAUACUUAUCUUGUUCCUUCUUCUAGGUACUUUACUGGACUUCUAUCACCAUGGAAGGGUAUUCUUCUUUUUGGCCCACCAGGAACAGGAAAGGUUUGUGCACACACUAUCUAUUGUUAUUUUAGUCAUUUUACUUUUUUCUGUUUCAUUUUUUUUUCCAAAUCAUCUUUAAACUCCUCUUCGUUUUUUUGGUCUUUCCUUUUCGUUAGUUAUCUUGGAUGGAGCUUCUUUGCACUGUGUUGCUUUACUUAUCCACAUGAAACUGAUUUCUGACCUGAAUAAUCCUUUUGCACUUUCCUCUUCUUGUUUUUAAACCUGAUUUUAUUCAAGGAUGUUUGUAAGGUGAUUGAAAGUACUGGCUUUCUUUCUGGCUCUGUCUUUUUCUUUCUGCUUGAUAUUAUUUAAAUUAAUCACCAUUUUGAUGUCCAGACAAUGCUUGCUAAGGCUGUUGCUACAGAGUGCAAGACCACAUUUUUCAAUAUUUCAGCGUCUUCUGUUGUCAGCAAAUGGCGUGGUAAGUCACGGUUAAGCAGUUUUUUGUUAAGUUCCUAGUUUAUUUUAUCUGGAUGUUUGAGUAUGUUUAGUUACAUAGAGUAUGUACCUACUUCUUUCAAACAGUUUGGUACCUCGGUCAUAAUGAAAGCUAUAUCUACUUAUGGAGCACAUUGCAGGUGAUUCGGAAAAGUUGAUUAAGGUAUUGUUUGAGCUCGCAAGGCACCAUGCACCCUCGACUAUAUUUCUGGAUGAAAUUGAUGCAAUAAUCAGUCAACGUGGUGAAGCACGCAGUGAGCAUGAAGCAAGCAGACGUUUGAAAACUGAACUCCUAAUACAGGUAUUUUUUUCCUUUCUUGUGUGUAAUAGAUCUUUGUGCACAAUUUUGCAUUGUCAACUGCAACAAUUUAAAAGCAAUGGAUCAGAUAACCUGGUGUUGUUGUACUGACGUGGAAUUGUCUGCACUUCAAAGUUCUGUUUAAAAAUAAAAAUACAGUAGAUUUCAACUUCUAUUUUCUCAAAAAUUAUUGACUUCGAUAAGAUUGCAGAUGGAUGGUUUGACACAGUCAGAUGAACUUGUAUUUGUUUUAGCUGCAACAAAUCUCCCUUGGGAACUAGAUGCAGCCAUGCUUCGGCGUCUUGAGAAGCGGGUAUCCUUUUCAUUGAUCGCUUUAACGUGAAUUUUUGCUCAGACAAAAUAGGAUGAAUUGGUACUGGAUUUAACAAAUGAAGGUAAAGGAUCGGGUCUUAAUUUUCUGGGUUUCUGAAUGUCAAGAGAAAGGACUAUGGCAUUUAACAUGCACCAAGACUGCUAGUCCUAACUGAAUUUGUUCUGUAAAUAUCCUUGCUGAUCAAAUAUGAAUUUUUGGCUAGUGUGAUAAAGCUUUAGUUUGCUAAUGUGUAGUUUUUUCUGGUGCUAUAUUUGGUAAAGGCUUGCAGUGCUGUCCAUAUGAUUGUUGAUUUUUUGGAUGAGUACUAUUUUUCCUGUGGGAGAGCUGUGAAUUGAUUAGGUUGAUCUCAAAUAAUCAUUAUAUAUUUGGCUGAAUCCUUAUACUUAGCUACCAUGUGAAUAUUGGGUGGUAGUAUCCCUAACCUUUUCGUUCUCAGUUCUUACAUCAUUCUUCUACUUAAUUCAGUACUUCAUCUUGAUUUCAGUUUUUUGAUUAAUCAGCACAUUUUGCGUAGAUAUUAUAUGUUAUAAAAUUGUUCUCCUUUGACCAUGAUCAAUAAGAUCCUUGUACCUCUUCCGGAUACCGAAGCAAGGAGAGCCAUGUUUGAAUCGCUUCUGCCUUCACAAACUGGUGAAGAGAGCCUUCCUUAUGAUUUAUUGGUGGAAAGGACUGAAGGCUAUUCAGGUUCAGAUAUUCGGUUAGUCAGCAAAGAGGCAGCUAUGCAGCCACUGAGACGAUUAAUGGUUCUCCUUGAAGGCAGACAGGAAGUGGCACCUGAGGAUGGUAUGACUUUUCAAACUGUAUUCCUUGUACUUACAUCAUCAAUCGGCCUAGUAUCAUAGUUGGAACGUUGGAACUUUGAGUUAAACGAUUCUCACAAGAUUUUUUGCCCCUUUUUCCUCCAAAAGGGAACAUAAAGAAAAUAGGCACUUUCUGAUUAAACAAAUUAAGUGAGACUUCUCCAAUACUUGACCAUCAUAUCCCCACCCCCUCCCCCCUUCUAAUUUUCACUUUCUUAUCUUUCCAUAUAAUAUAUUUUUUAAAGGAACCUUUUCAUAUGAUUUUCAGUUCGGGACAAAAACUACUUUUUUGUAAAAAUCACUUUGCAAAGUGUUGAUCACAUCACCUUUCUUUUUUUGCUUUUUCCUGUCAUUGUUUCUCUCUCACUUGACAUCCCCUCUUGCAUCAUCAUCCUUAGCUUUUAAAGUCAACUCUGCAAAUUAUAGAACUGAAGGAUUACUCUCUUGUUUGCAGAGUUACCACAGAUUGGGCCAAUAAGACCAGAAGAUGUAGAGAUAGCUUUGAAGAACACUAGGCCAUCGGCUCAUCUCCAUGCCCACCGAUAUGAGAAGUUUAAUGCUGAUUAUGGUAGCGAAAUACUCCAAUAAAGGUACCCAAUCAGGAAUGAUCUUCUAAUGGUUAAAUAAAACCUUUCAUAAGUUGGGAAAAGGACAUCAUUCUUCUAUCUUUAGUAGGCUGGAAGUAAUGCGUUCAAUGAUUCUUUUCUUCUUUGUCUUUAAUACUGUGUGUCACAAUAUCAUUAUUUUUAGUGGUUAUUUCAUAUCACAACAUGGGCAUCUUUAUCUUGAGGCUGUUGCGAUCGAUGCGUUAUUACUUUAACCGCUUCCACACCGCCGGUGCCAUGCCAUAUUUUCCAGGGAUUAUCACAGAGGGUAAAGGCUGAAUAAGCUCUAGGAUCACCGUUUUACACCCUCUUGUAUUGUUGUUUAUGGUAAACUGGUAAAUUACAAAUUUUGAAAUAUUGGUGCGAUAUUGAUUUGAACUGCAUGAAAUGAUUUUUUUUUUAAAUUUUUUAAUUAAAAAGCAUAUCACGUUUGUAUUAUUUUUCCGUUGACAGAAUAAGCCCUAAAAAUAGUAUGUGCAGCUACUGCUAUUGCUUAAUCCCAGAAAAAAAAAAAAAAAUUUGUUCAUGCUUUAGUUUAAGACUUAAUAUUUCACUUAAAGAAAGAAAAUAAAUUUAUGAAUAUUAAAAUGUUAAAUUUUCUAAUUGAGACUUAAUAAAAUGUUACAUUUUAUCUUUAUUUUAUUUAAUGAAUAAGAAUUAAAAUCAUUACGAUUCGACAACUUCAAUUGACCUACCCAUUUAAUAAAUAUAGCAAAAACAAAAAACUACUUUAAAAUCAAGAUAUUCAGAAAAUUAAAAUUGAGGACGGGUAAUUGCGGAAGCUCAUGCAUAAGUCGUAUUCAUAAAAACAGAAAAUACGUAAUUUCAACUAAAUUGUGUUAAUUAAAUAACUGAAAUCCAAUAACAACCCCAGCACAAGCUGCUUACAGCAUGAUCAGGAAAUGACAUCCCCAAAUGGCAGAUACUUGUGACCGCAAGUUCGCAACACAAAAUGCAUGAAAAUGACAGUAACGGUAACUUCAGACAAAGGGAAGACCAUACACAGAACAUCACCAUCUUUGGGGAGUAUCUGACUACAUCUUUAGUUUAUUUAGGGAUAUCCCUUCAGAGGAUCAGCUGUUUUACCAGAUCUAGCAUCUGUCCAAGCUUUUGCAAUUGUUCGCUUCAUUUCGUCGUCACCUUCCUCGUACAUAUUCUGCAAAUUUGCAACAAAAAGAAAAAAAUGUAAGCAUUUAGACAUAAUCACAGCCAUAGAAAACACAUUCUGUUUGUGCAAGUGCCUUCACGUGAGGGUGCAGCAUGAACAGAAGGCAGCUCACCUUCAUCAAAUCCAUAAUUCCAGCCAUAGGAUCUCGUUCUUUAUCCAGAUUUGGCUUCAGCUGGAAAACAGUUGGAGAAACAGAUACAAGUUAGACUGUGUUAUCUUAUGAAAGUAUGGCACCAAAUAUCAAAUAUUCCCAUUGUAUGUGAUUACCUUAUCCUCUUUGUACUGUAAGUCUAACCAAUUUCCCUUUGAAGCUUUAAAGAGCAUGAUGACAACCCUUGUGGGUUUAACCAGCACCUUGCUUUUCUCAGGAACAAUCUCCUGGUUCAACCUUGGGAUAGUAAACCGGUAAUUCUUCCCUUGGACAUCAUGGAAUUUGACAUCAAAGGACCACUGCUUGAACUCUGCUUCCAUUUUAUCCUGGACUACUCCCUCUAAAGAAAUAUAUAUCUGCAAAUGGAGAUUAUGUAGUUUCAGGACAUGCAAAUCAUCACAAAAGUAAUGUACUCCAUGCUAAUCAAGUAGCUUUCUCUGAGAUUACAACCUGGAAUCAAAUUACAAUCAUACCUUGACUUUUUCAUUAUCCUGAUCCCAGCUGAAUGAUCCAAGCGUAAUAUAGUUGAGUGCUGGAGUAGAAGAGACCUUAGCUGGUGUUGGAACCGGAGCUGGACCUUCCACUUUUGACAACUGCAGAAUUGAAGUCAAAGAAUAUUUUAUUAAAGGCAAUACAGAAGCAACCAAAGGUACAUUUAGAAAAUCAAUCAGCCUAGGUUUUGACAGCAUGACACGUUUACACACAAAAUAUAAAAGUCAACAAGUCAACAGUCUACCAUACUACUGGGAAAGUUAUUCUCAAUCAUGAAACCAACUGCUUCAACACGAUUCAAAAUUUUCAUUUAUCAGCACCGCCAGUCUUUUAAAAUCCGGAUCACAAGUGUCAUCAGACUGGGGUAGCACCAGAGCUUCAUUUUGCCACAGCCUCAGCCUCAGCCUUUUCCUUUAAUCAGUAAAUCAUUAAACGAACAAUGGUGGUAUGGUAUCCAAAAGCUACAAGUAAGGAUUUCCAUCAUAUUAAUUCAUAAAUCCUAAAACAUGAUGCGUACCAAACACAAAAUGAUAACAAACAAUGUUAAAUGAUUCAUUUAAUAUUCUGCUACAAUUAAUCAUAAAUCAUUUUAAUAGAAUUUCCUUAUUCUUUCUAUUCAAUGAAACAUGCCAAACAGGGCGACAAGUGAAAACAUCACACACACACACAUCUCGUUAGGAAAUUCAUACUCCAAAAGCAGAAAUGAAAAACAGUAUCCAUUUACAUUUUUUUUUGGGGGGGGGGGGGGGGGGAAGAGAGAGCAAGAAAGAAAGAAAGAAAGAAAAGAAAAGCAAAAAAAAUCAAAAAUGGAAAACCAACCUUCUCCAAGGUAUGAAUCUCAGAGUUAAUAAGAGAGACGAUACGAGGUCGUUUUGCGAUGCUCCGUAGUUGUCUUAGCUCUUCCAAAUCCAGCACCAAAUCCUCCGCCAUUUCUGCCUUCUGAGUGACGAGAGCGUAGUAGAUGAAGACCGAAGGACAACAAUUACAAGCGGCUUUAAUUCUUAAAUAAGUACACUCGUUGCUUUUUGUACGUGGAAUAUGCUUGAAGCCUAUAGAGCUCGGCUCGUCUGAUAGGGAAAUUUGGAGGGGCAAAGCUAAGGCAAAAUGAUGACCAUCUGUGCUUCAAACAACUUUUAAUUAUUAUUUUCUUUUAGGGUUUUCGUUUUGAGAGAACGUUCUAGACUUCCAGAAAAUUGAACACGUGGAAAAUUUUUGUAUUCCAUGAACAGGGAUAAGAUAAAAAGCCUCUAAAUAAAAAAAUAAAAACGUUUUAUUUACAUUUAUUAUUAAUUUCUUUUAAAAAAUAAUAAUAAUAAAAUCUUUCCUAACUUUUCAGGUAAAACACUUCUUAUCACUUAUCAUUAGAAGAACGAAGCAUUUCCAUUGAGAUUUGAAAAUCCGUCAAAUUCCAAAGUUCAAAAUUUCCAUCAUAAAAAGUAAAAAAACACAAAGCAAAACUAAUCGCAGUAGAAGCAAUACAAUCCCACAACAGUACAUGGGUCUCCGUACCGUACAAUUAGGCUUUAAUUAUGACACAUGGGUUGAGAUUGCUGAUCGAUUCCUUAGCUUUGGCCUUUGAGUGAACUGGGACAGUCUUGAUUUUGUGCGUUUAAUAAAUUCUGGAGCUGCAUUUGCAACUGUGCUCUUAGCUGGUACUUAGAAGCCAAGUUUCUGUGCACGUUGUCUUUGGUAGCCAGAAGUUGAGACUUUCUCAUCUCAGCUGCAACUAUUUCAGGAUUGCUCAAAUGUCCAUUGUUGCCUUGAAGUUUCUUGAAGGUAGAAUUAAGCUAAACAAAAAAAGAUUAAAUUGAUUUAUAUCAAAUGCAUCAUUAUUCCAUCCCAUUCCCAGCUAAUCAAAUAAUUAAUUCAGCAGCUAGUCAUCUGAUAGAAUUAGAAUAAUCCCCUCAAAGUUCAGUUGCAUGAUUUUACAAGUCCAGGACUAGGAGGAGAUACAGAGAUUGGGUUGGAGCUCUAAUUUAUUAAUUAUUAUAACAAUUGAGAAUCAAACUGCAGCUCAAGUAGUAUUAGUCCCUUUUCAUAUACAUAGUAUGAUGAUAUAUUGAUGAAAGUGAAAGAAAUAAUGCAUUCACAUACAUAUAUUAUUAUUAUUAUUAUUAUUAUUAUUAUUAUAUAUAUAUAUGUGUGUGUGUGUGUGUAGAGAAGUAAAUAAAUGAAUAUAUACAUUACAGAGGUGUAUACAUAGUGAUUACAGCAUAAUCUUUUUACCUUAGAGAAUUGGUCUCUCAACUCUUCAAUUCGCAACUGACAUUCCUCGACAAAAUUCUCCACAUUUUCACGAAACUCCUUCAUUUCAUUACCUUUUAACACGUAAUACCUCUCCUUCUCUUUCUCCGUUUCCUCCACCUCCUCUAUCUCACUCUUCAAUUUCCUAAAAUUUCCAUCCCAAAUUCAAUUACACUAAAUAUUUUAUUUCAACAAUCCCCCUCAACCUUUGAAAUAUAUAUAUAUAUAUAUAUAUAUAUAUAUAAUUCGCAAAAAACUGUACCUCAGUUUUUGCGAAUGUGCUUGAUACUUGGAAUCGAGGAUCUCGAUCUCGGAUUUGAGAGUGGCAAUUUUGAAAUUCUGAGACGCAAUUUUUUGAUCGAGUAACAAACACCUUCGUUCCGUCAACCUUACACUCUCGAGCUUCGAUUCUAAAAUUUGAGACUUUUUCCCUUGCACUUCUUUCUCUGCCUGUGCGAACACACAAUAAUACUGUACCGUGUUAGUUUCUUUUCUAUUUUUCUUAAAAUAUAUUUUCUCAGUAACCGAACAGAAAUGUAAUGAAGCCCAGGGUUAGGGCUUGUGGUGAAGAUGACCUGGAGGAUUGAGAGGCGUUGGUUUCUCGUUUGUUCCAUUUGCUCUAGCCUUUCUCGAAAGGCAGAAGAGAGCGCCAUUGCCGUGCUGCCUCGAAUCGGUGAGCUGCGCUCUUCCGUGCCGUGUGAAUUCGGUUUGAAUCUUGCGGUUUAUAUACAACUGAGAUUGAACCCGGCCCAAUACUAACUCUCUCCAUCAGGGGGCCCAUGGGCUUCAUGCAUUUGUAACUUUAUUCAGACCCCACUUUUGCUCUUAUCAAGCCCGGCUACAUACUUGCCUACAUACUUGUACUAGGGUGGAGGUACUUACACCCACUAAACUAUUCAAUAAAGAGUGAUGAUACAGUCACAAAUUCUUGUAUAAACUGACGUGGCAUUAAUUUAUUGGUUGAAUGAAAAUAUAAAAUAAUAAAAACAAAUCAUGUGGGCCAAGUGAUAUUUAAUUCAAUCAAUCAUAUCAUACCACAUCAGUUUGUACAAAAUAAGUUUGUACAAGAGUUUGUGGCUAUAUCAUUACUCUUUAAUAAAACCAUCUUUGGAAAUAAAUUUUAACUACUAAAAUAUCCUAAAUCAAAUUAUAAUUAUGGACACUAAAGUAUAGAAAAAAAAAAAGAAAUUUUACUAAUUAAAUUUAUAAAAUUGCAUAAUUGCUUUCUUCUAUAGAUAAAAAAUCUCAAUGAGAAAAAACAUUAAUUUCAUACAAAUUAGUAAUGGUGAAUUCUAUAGGUAAGUAUAACAAUUGUUUGUUUAAGAAACAGAAAGGUUGCUAGAAAAUAUAUAUAUAGACAACAUGCCUCCUUUGCAGUCCAUGUCAAUGCCAAGUCUGUCUCACUAAAUUUUAAAUAUGUUUCGAAAGCCAUAACUUGAGUUACAUAUGUCCGUUUUAGGCGUAUAAUAUAUCAUUUCGAAACUUACGACGAAACAAAUCAAAUCCAAAAUCAUAUACUUCAUAAAAUCCUUGGGUUUAUGUGCGACAGGCAGUGGGACAGAUGCAUGUCUCACAUAAAUGCAGUGCGUUUAUGUGAGACAUGCACAUGUCCCGCUUGCUUGUCUGACUAGGGAUGGCAAUGGGCACCGCCCGCAGCGGGUUUGCAUCACCAAACCCAAACCCGCACAAAAUUUAAAUUACCAAACCCACCCGCAACCCGCAGCGGGUUUUAAUUUUUUUUUAAAAACCCACCCGCAGCGGGUUUUAACAAUUACCAAACCCGCAAUGGUACGCGGCUUUUUUGCGGGAUUCCGUAUUUAAAAUCACAAAUGUUUAAUAUAUAAAUUUAUAAUAAUAACCUCAAAUUCCAUAUAACAUACUCAAUUUUGUAUUUAAACAAUGUAAAUGAAAAAUUAAAAUUUCAAUAUCAAUCCAACACAAAUUCUCAAAUUUAAGUAUAAAUUACACAAAUCCAUUUAAAAAACACAAACUAGUAUCUAAAAAUAAUAAUUACAUUUCAUAUUAUCAUUUAAAACAAGCUCCGAGAGAAGAUAUCCAUUUCAUUCACCACCAUAAGCACCCAUCCAACACAAUGCCUAUAAUAAUAAUUAAGAUUAAUAUUUUUAAAUACUAAUUCGAAGGGAAAUGACUUUAGUUUUCUUUAGUUUAUGACUUUAGAAUGGGAGAUGGGCCACAUACACACAUACACAACUUUGAACCUUUGGCUAUUUGGUAAUUUGAAUAAUGACAUUAUUUUUUUUAUACAUUUUUAGAUUAAAAUUAAAUUAAAAAUAUUUGAAAAAAAUAUUGUGGGUUUGGUGGAUAUCCAUGCGGGUAUCCACUGGAUAUAAGGCUAAUAUCAAACCCACCCGCAUCCAUGUGCGGGUUUUAAUUUAUAAUACUAAAGCAGUCCGCAACGGAUAAAAUUACCCGCAGCGGGCGGGUUUUGGCGGGUGGGUUUGGGCGGGUUUGCGGGUUUGCGGGUAUAAUUGUCAUCCCUCACUUGUUCUGAACUUCAUUUUUUGCCCGAUUUUUAUGUGUUUUCAAUGAUUUUUCUUCAUUUCUCAACUCAAACUAAGUACUUUAAUAAAUCACAUUAUUUUAUGAAUGAAAAAUAACAACAUUUGCAACAAAACCCACUUUAAUUUCGAACUUAGUUGAUAAAAUCAAUAGAUUAAAGGUUUACAUUGUGUAAGAGUAUAAACUAAUUUUAAGAAGCUCUCCCAUUGAUGAUUAUAUCUUCAAUUAUGCAAUUGAUUUAUCGAGAGUGAUGAAGUUUGUUGAGAGUAAUGAAGUUUGUUGAGAGUAAUGAAGGUUUGUUAAGUUAUUGAGGAAGAUCCGUAUUUAGUUGUACUUGAAUUGAAAAAGUGGCAUGCCUUUGUAAAUUUGAUGAAAGUGAUGAGGGUAAUUUAGUCUAAAAAUAUGGUGUUUGACUAAUUAUGAUAGAAAAAACUUUAAGAGAUUAAAAUUGAAAAACGUAAAAAUUUUAUAGCCAUUUUUAUAAAUUUCCCAAAGAAUAAUGAUGGCGUGUGAGAAAGCUUUACAAUUUUUUUUUUUAAUGUUUCUAUUCUCAAAGCUUCUAGGAUUCACAACAUUAUAGGCUAGUGAAUUGUCAUGGUUGUUAGCCUAUAAAUGCGGGCCCCUUUUUUUUUUUAUGUUUCCUUAUCGUUUAAGAUCUUCUUGGUUCGCUUAAUUGCAACUGAUCAGCACGCCAGAUCCCAAAAUAGCUUUUAAAAUAUCAGUACUCUGAAUCCUUCUCAUGACGAUGCUUUCAACUUUUAAUUACCUGUUGCAAAAUUAACUUACAAGAGAAGGGAUUAUAAAAAAUCAAGACUGGAUCGCAUAAUUUGAGAUUGUAAUUGUAGCUGGGUGCCAUAAUUAAGCCACACAUUUCAAAGUGUAGUCAUAAUCUUCUGAAAUCGAGCCUCCGUACCAAGGAUUCUCAAACUAUAUAUAUAUAUAUAAUUAUAUAUUGUCACGAUGACUAAUCGCUGUCACUUUUUAUUUUUUAAAGAAUUCUGUUGUAGCAACCUAUGAUUAGUCCAAUGAUAUAUUUUCAAGAUUGAGGAUAAUGCACGGAAAGAUCGCAAAAGAUUAUUAAUCCUUUCACAUCAGUGACCUGUGAACCAAGAAAAAAAUAAAAGAAGCGUUUGUGAUAUAUUUGUUAAUUUAAAUUUCUUUCUUUCCUUCUGGGAAUUUGCUUGCUCCUGCCUGAGUUGUAAUCCUAAUUCUUAUGUCAACACCCAAGGCCAAAAGUUUGACGGAUACAAACAUAUAUGUAUAAAUAAUAAUAUCUGUUUUGUUUCACAUGUAAGUGUAUUAAUCUCAAAGAGAUUUGGAAUUGGAAAAAUAUAUUCCCCAUAAUUGUAGUGCUGUCGAUCUUGAACGUUGAAUGUCAUAGUGAUGAUACGACACUUUGAUUAUUCAAUCUAGUCACAUUUAUUAUUAGUCAUAAAAGAAAAAUGUGGAUUCGUCAAAAAAAGUUGAUUCGAUUAGUUCCAUGAGAGAUGAAUGUAUUGCUGCCAAAACAUAUCUAAAGAAAAAGGGUUUCUAAUUUCUUCGAUUAGCAGCAUACACAUGCUGAAUUACGUGUCGAUGGGACCUCUCUAUGAUGAAUCCCACUAAAACAUGUCAUCAAUUAACCCAAAAAGGAAAAAGAGAGAGAGAGAGGGACGGGGACAAAACGCCGAGUACAAGAACCUCCAUUAAUUUCAGACAAAAGUUUCUAUGUAGAAUGUUCUCAGUCUUAGCUUGUUCUUUCACUAAAAUCAUAUCGUAUAUGCAUUAUUUUCUUUUGAUUAAUCUUGAACACGCUAACGCUAUUCGGAAAUGAGCAGAUUAAUUAAAGACUUUGUUUUGAGUAGAAGUUCAAAGAUCUCAAUUUACACAAUGAUCCCCUAAUUCUUAGUGGGGUAUCAAAAACUUUUUUUUUUUAAUUUAUUGGGUAAAUUUGUGACCACAAAUUAAAAAAAAAAAAAAAACUGAUGGUGCGAUCCUUGAAAUAUCGAAAUGUUGGGCUGCAUGUGCUCCACGUUGGCUGAUCCGAAAUCGGUAGAUCAUUUAUUAAUUAUCACCAUCAGGUUUUUGUAAGGCUGAGCGUAAAUUGUCUCUCCCCAUUUCUGGAAAAUAGAGAGAGAAAGAAAAGAGAAAACAAAUCAAAAGCUCCUUUGCCAUAAAGGAGAAGAACUGGCAAUCAAUGACCAAAUGCAAAUGCUGACGGUUUAUUUUGCCAGGGAAUAAAGCUACCUUAGGCCGCCCAAAUUUCGUGCUUAGGAUAGAAAAAGAACCAAACAAAGCCUUACCUUUUGCACUUUAAUUACAUUAUCAUCAUUAUCUCCAAUUAGUUAUAUAUUUAUUUAUUUUUAUUUUUAUUUUUAUUAUUAUUAUGAAGAGAGAAAAAGGAAAGGUGAGAAAUAAACGUUCUAUAUUAUAACAACAGUUAUGGAUUCCACGUCCAAAAGUAGAGGACUUUCUUUGCAACCAAUAAGAAAUUAAGAAUAUGGUAGCCUUGCACUACUCUAUACUCUUCAAGAAAUAUAACUGUUUACAUUGCAUACUUAUAUAUCCUAAAACGAUAGAGUAAUAAUUGAAAAAACAAUGCUUUAACAAAUUACAAUAUCGAUCUAGCAUAAUAAUUACGGAUGGAAGUGCUUCUCCAAGAAAAAAUUAAGCUAAUUUUUUUCCAUUCCAAUGCCGGGAUUUGAGAAGAGUGGAGAUGAAUUUGUGACAAAUUGGUCAUGAUGGUUAGGGCAAUAUGCUUGGAGAAGGCUCAUGAGUACGAAACAAUCACCACCAACUUGGAGAUCCAGAGUGCUUUGGUAGUUGUUAAUUUCUUGUACAAAUUGGCAAAAUGGGUAUACCUUUGGUCUUUUUAAUUGGUGUUUAUUUGUCAAGUGCGUUCCAAAAUACCCAAAAGUAAAACCCCAAAUUGCCUUGCCAAAAAAGUAUUAUUUACAUGCACUCCAUUUGCUUAUAUGCUCUUCACAUAAAAGCUCGAAAGGUCAGCAAAAACACUAACAUCCAGUUCACCAAGCUUUGAUUUUCCUUGUUUGCUGCCUGUUUCACGAUAAACGUAAUCCCAUUUAAAGAGAAAAAUAAUUAGACUAAUUAUCAUUAACGAAGACAUUUAUAAAACCCUGAGCUCAAAUUUCACUAAACAUAGAGUAAUGGUACACAUUCCAAAUUUUUAUUCAAAUUUAAUUCCAAAUAAUGUGUUAUUAAUUGAGUGUUUGGAAAUUCUUUACAAGAUCCAAGAAAAUUAAUUAUAUCAUAUCACUAAUCAUUUGAUGAACGCCACAUCAUUUGAGAUAAUUUUUUAAGUUGAAAAAUUUAGAAUAUGUAACACUGCUCUACAUAUACAAUAGUUAAUUAUUGACUUAUGACAUACAUUCACAUCAAUUAAAUAUCUGCUGUCUCCAAUAACUUUAUACACUUUUGGUUUAAGAGCUAAAGAAAUUGAUGAUGUAACGGGAGAGAAAAGCGAAAAAAGACACAGAAUUGACCUAAGGUUUUACCUUAGUGGCAGAUGAAGCUAGAGAAAUUGAAGCUGAUGAUGGUGUUGAUGAUGAUGAAGGGGUUGAAAGGGCAGAGAGCCCCACAUUGUAAGCCAUAGUGCCAUCAGGUUGAAAGAGACCGUAAUUUCUUUCAGAAGUUGGCCCAGGCUUCAUAUCCUCAUUGAAUAAUGCAAACAAGUAAACUUCUAGCCUCAUAUUUGGCCUCAAUGGUGUCCCUUCAUUUGCCAUUUGCCUUCUCAACAAAUUCUUAUUGUAUGUUGCCGCAUUCACAACGGUGGCGCCGACCUCGUUGGGGUCGCCUUUCGAUGGCCACCCGGUCUCGGAAACCCUAACUUCAAUACCAUUGUACCCCAACCUAGCCAUGGCGAAAAUAGCAGCAUCCACUUGUGCGUAUAGCAUGUUGUCGUAGUGAAGUUUUGUGUAUGGAUCAACCAUGCCUGAGUUAGGAUUAAAAAGUGCAUAAUCUAAGGAAAUCCUAUUUGGAGCAUCUUUGUAUGCAAAAUAUGUAUAUGCAUUAAUCCAAAAUGGUGCCUUGGUACUUGACAAGAACUGUAAAUACUGUGACAUGAUUCCGGCAACUUCGGUUUUGAAACUACCGGCUGAAGGAGGAUAUGAUUCUUCUAAAACCGCUAAGGAAUUAGGUGUAGAAACUUGAAUGUACUUAUCAAGGCCUAAUUGAACUAAAGCACCAUGAAUGCUGACAGUGGCUGGGACAAGGUUCUGUAUCAGUGACGUGUCAUCGUCGGUGAAGACCUCGUUUCCGACUGCGAUGCCGGUGAUCUUUGUGGCCGGAAAGUAUGGCUUGAUGUGGGUGCUUACCCAUUGAAGUGCUUGUUGAGGAUCCACUAAAACAGCCAGCAUUUGGUUUUCAACAGUGACUAUAAGCUCAAUGUUGGAGUUUGCGAAUGCUGUUAAGACUUGAGGAUUUGUGUCAUAAAUUCUUGAUUUUGUGAUCUUAAGAGAGCUUAAGAGAUCAACAACCUUGUCGGGCGGCGGCAAAUUGUUAGCUACUUGUCCAUAGUUAACUCCAAGACAGGUGACUCCAAAAUCUGCAAAUUAAUUAUUAAACGACGUACAGAGAAAUCAAGAAUAAUUCAAUGGAUUAAUAUGAAAAUUAAGACAAGUUUAAGCUAUAGAAAUAAAAGCGAAAGGAAAUUACCUGAGAAAGUGAGAGAAAGUAAAAGAAAAAAUGGGAUCAAGGCAAUAUUCCUGCAAAAAGUUGCCAUUGAUUGAUUGAGAGAAGGGCCCUGCAAAUUUGAAGAUGAGAAAGGGAGAGAGGUUAGUUAUAGAGAAGUAUUGGGAGAUCCCAAAAUAAGAGGAGGACUAUGAAUUCUUUUCUUUGCUUGUUUGAAAUUUUGUUUUGUUUUGUUUUGUUUUGUGGGGGUGUGUUGGAUAGCUAGCUUGCCUUGUAAGUUGUAACCAAUGUUGCCUUUUGCUCUUACCUCUUAACCUGUCUUUAAAUGACUUGGUUUUCUCAACUUCUUCAACUCGUCAACUGGCUUUUUUAUCAAGACUACAACUUGUCUCUUUUCCAUUCCUAUUUGACAGAAUUGCCCUCAGCCACUUUCUUCAGACAAAAGCAAUGGAAUAUCCCACUAAUCAAUUAGUUAGUAAUUAGGAGGAAGCAAUUGGGGGAUCCCUACAUUUGGGGUGCGGUAAAAAUGUUAGUGCAUGAUAAUGAUAAGAGAUUCCACUUUUAUCUUAGCUAUUUUAUAUCAAUAUAUUCUCUACUACGUUUUUAGGGCAGCGGCUGGACUGUUUUGUAUUUGUGUAAAUUUUCCUAAAUAUACUUAAUUAGAAGAUGAUACCAAGCUUAAUUAAGCCUCUAGUUUCAUUCAAUAUACUAAUAAUUCGGCGCAUAAUUGAUUAGUGAAUUAAAAAAAAAAAUCCACAGGAAAACGACUUACUUAAAAACGGAAUGAAAGAGUCAUUUAAUUUGGUCAGAAGUAGAAUGAACAAAAUCGUAAAAAUGCUUUAAUUAAUGAGGAGAUGUACAAAUUAACAAGGUGUGUGACAUGGGUACGUAAUUGAGGUAAAAAUUCAAAGACAAAAAAUCUUACGUAAUUUGGCCAAAAUUGAAUUAAAGAAAGGAAACCCCAAUGAAAAGUAAAUGUUUGGUAAGCGGAUAAGGAAUGGAAUACGUGGGAAUUGUUUGGAGACGUAGGUGUCCUUAUCUUCCGGCAAGGAGGCUGCUUAUGUUUCUUUGCUUGGUGACGAUGCCAAUUGCUCUUUUCAUUCGCUAACACAUCGGACAGUCAACAAUAGUUUGUACUAACACAUAUGAAAGAGAUCAGAACUAGGCCGGCCAUCAAAAAAAGUCGAAAGAGAUUUGAAAGUUCGUGUUUUGAAUGUUCCAUCAUUUUCGGCACAUGAUAUUUAUUUUGAUGGCCGUAUUGCAGCUUAACUUUAUUAUCUUGCCUUCCAUAACAUUCUAUGCUGUUCGCUGGUUGGAUGAGGCUAUAAUCUUGCUUCUGAGUUGCUAUCUAGGACGUUGAAUGGUACAAUCGCAUCCUAAAACUGCACCGCAUUGAUUCAACUGGUGAAAAGUUUAACAUGGGAAAGGCAAGCAAAUUGAAAUUACUGAAACUGGAGAAAUAGGCACUCGUUCUGCGUUAAGGCAAUACUAGUCUACAAGAUUAAUGAGAGGCCUCUCAUUUAGUUUAACUAUGGAUCGAAAAUCCUGACCAUAUUACUAAAUAUCUCAAUCAUGCAUGUUGAUUUUUCAAUAAUAAAGUUUUUGUCUGCUAGUAUGCUAAGUAAGUUAACAUAUAUUAAGCUACCUUUUUUUUUCUUUUUGUUGGGGGGGGGGGGGGGGGGGGGGGGGGGGGGGGGGGGGGGGGGGGUGUUAUUACAGCAUAUAAUAUGUAAUUAUAUGUUUCUCAAUAUGACAUUAGAAACCCAUUCAAAUACACAUUAAUGUAAAUUGUUAAAUUACUGGCCAAUUAACUUUUAAAGGUUGCAAUCCAAAUGCAUUGUCGUACAAAAAAUUAAUCUUAACAAGAUAGACUUGGAUCUCAAAGGCAGACAAGUUGCAGUGAUGUUAGGCUUUGUAAACUGUUAACAGGCGUCACCAUAGCCAAGCAUGUGAUCGGGUGCUGGAAAAAGAGAUAAAAAGAAAGCCUAGCUGAUCACAUUGCAAAAAGGACCUUUAAUUGUUUAAAGCAUCCAUUCAUGUCAUCAAAAUCAAUUUAACAUUUCCUACCUCAUUUUCUCUGCUUUCUUAAUGAAGAAUGAAAAAGCAAACGAAGAGAGGGAGGAUAUCUUCAUAUAUUCCACAACCCAUGAACCAAAGAAAUGGAAGAGCACCAUAUAUGUCCCUUGUUAGCCGGUCAAUGCUAUAUAGCUUUUAUUUAUCCUUUUUUAUAUCCAAACAGAUUUGUUUGUGCAAGUGAGAGAUAUGAUAAAGAAGUAAAGACAUUAGCUUUCGUUAAAGAAGAAGUUGGUGCUAAAAGGAAGAAGCAUGAUGGAAGAAAAAGGAAUGGGAAAGUAAGUGAAGUGCAUGCAAAUGCAUUGCACGAAAGUUCUUCUGUUCUUGAUUAACAGUGUAUGCACAUGUAUGUGUUUUGCUCACUGACAUGCUUCUUUCCAGGAAUUUCUAUUCCUUAGAAUUAGAUUGGAUUCCAAAAAUGUAAGAAUCAUUUCCCAAUUUCCAAGAUUUUUAACCAUGUCGGGAAUCCAGAAUCUCCACCCCCCCCCCCCCCCCCCCCCCCCCCGGCCCGCAAUUUUCAUGGCUUUGUAUAAAAAGGGCGCAAGAGCUAAUUAUUAGCUGAUGAUUAUUUUGCAUAUUUGCAACAAAGGUAAUUAUCAAUUGAUAAGGCAAUUGAAAGAAACGAAAAGCAGAAAUGGUUAUUGGUUUAUGGUUAUGUAAAGGCAAAUAUUUCUUGACAAGUAAAGAGCUCUAUUAUGGUGGUCCUUUGGAAUUGGGGUAAUAGUGGACCUAGCUACAUCCAUUUGUCUAUUUUAUGCAGUAGUCAUGGUGUUGAAAUAAGAUUAUGUGGAAGUAUACAAAUACAAAAUACUAUAAAUUAGAUGUAUCUUGUAAAUUACAAAAAUGGGUGAACUGUAUGUUUAGUGUCUUUGAUAACAUUGUCAAUGUAGAUUUUUUCUGAUCUAAAUUUAUAUGUGAUUAAAUAAAUACGUAUAGUAUAGUAAGUAAUUGGUAGUCAAUAAAAUAAAAUUUAAUAGACAAAUAUAUAAAUUAUUAGAACUACAUAUGUUAGGGCGUGAGCCCUGAGGCAUGCCUCAUUUAAACCCAUUUUAUUAUAUUUCAUUGUUUGUGCCCUUUAAACUUCUAUUUCCAUGUUAUGAUUUCCAAUAAAUGAUAUUUGAGCUAUCAGAUUAUUUCACCGGCUCUACUUUUUAAUUUAGCUUAUUACUUUUCAUAAUUAUUUUUAUUAAAAAAAUUAUUAUUUUAUUUUAUUAUCUCUUCUCCACUCUCAAUGGCAUAACCAUCACCGGCACCCUCCAUCACCUAUCUUCAUCAAGUACAAGUUCACAAUUGCCACCAUCACCACCUAUCCUCUUCACUAUCAACCAUCACCUCGGCCAACACAUAAAUGAUGAAUUUCAAUACGGACUUGUUGUUAAAUUUUAUGAAUGAGUGGUAAGCUUUCUUAUUAUUGAUGAUAUUAGUUUUUACUUUGCGUGAUAAUCUAAGAUUCUAUUUAAUUUCAAUUUGAAAUUUGAUUAUAAAUUAAUAUUCGAUUCAAAUUAUAUAUCAAUUAAAAAAAUGAGAGAGAUGUCAUAGAUGAUCUAUGGAGAGCAUGACAGAGAAUAAAAAAAUAUUUAUUUUUUUAAUUAGUUUAAUUUAGGAAUAGAAAAAUAUUAAUUUAAAGUGGGGGUUAGUGAGAUAUAUGGGGAGCAUGACAGAGAAUAAAAAAAUAUUUAUUUUUUUAAUUAGUUUAAUUUAGGAAUAGAAAAAUAUUAAUUUAAAGUGGGGGUUAGUGAGAUAUAAUGAAAGGGUAGAUAUCACCACUCAUGAUUUCCUCAAAUCUAUGUUUCUGAUAAAUUUUAAAAGAUAGUGUGAGCAUAGUCUAAAUUGAUUUUUAGCUAUUUAUUUCUCUAAUAAUUCGAAGUUGGGUGCCUAGUUAAAUGAAUUUUGCUUGAAAGUCACUUAAUUAAACCUUUAGGACUAGAGCAUGUUGAAAUGAGUUUCGGUAGAGAGAAAUUGAAAAGAGCAUCAGACUGUCUCAGUAUAAUUACAUGAAAAUAUUAUUUUGACUAGAAAAAGAAAACUAAUUAAUGGAUUUGGUAGGUAAGUGCCCCUUCGAUUUUAAAAUUAGCAAAUCAGCCUCAUUAGAGGUUAUUUUAUUUAAAUAUACCUCAUUUGCCCCUAAAUAUCAAAUCUAUAUCCUAUUACAUAUAUAUGCCUCAUGAAGGUAGAAAAAAUAAAAAAAUAUCCUUAAAAAAAUAUUUAUCUACAUUUUCUUCCUCUCUUAGUUUUCUCCUCUCGGCUCUCACCAUUUAUUUCUCACGAUUUGCUUUUCUCACCAUUUUUUUCCUCUCUCAUUAUUUUAUCUCUUACCUCCAAUACAGAGUUUUUUUAUAAAUAUAAACUCUUCAAAAUGUGCAUUAUCAAGUGGUGGAUAAUGUAUGUUUGAAAUGUAAACAUUUUAUAUGCUCAGAGUUUGAUUUGAUUUCAUUACGAGUUUAUUCGUUGUUGAUUUAUGAGUUUAACUGUACAUUAUUUAUUGUUGUGCUUAUACAUCCACAAGAAAAUUUAUUGGGUAUUUUAGAGCAAAUGAGGUAUAUCACACGCAAUUCUCCCCCUCAUUAGUGUCUGUUUGUAGCUGUUCAAAUUAAAGUCCCAUCUCAAAAAGGCUCUCUUUAGUACUUUGCAAAUGGAUAGUGAUACUGAUGGGCCAAUUAACGGUUACGCUGAACUUGUCUCUCCGAAUCAAAGCAUUAGAGAUUUGACGAAGCACUAGCACUUGUGGCUCGCCCAUCAUGGCCCAACAGCGGCAGAGUUCAAUUUUUCAACUUUAUCCGCUGAUUUAUUUAUCAGAGCCAGCUGGUUGUGGUUGAAACCUUUAAAGACAUUUCGAGUUGUACGAAAAAGGAAAAACUUGUUUUCAAAAACAUGACGGAAAUUUCUACUUUUUGGUUAAUUCAUAGAAAAGCACUUUAUUUUCAAGGCCAAGUUUUGUACUUUGCAGAAUAUGUUGCAAUCCAACAUUUUUCUUUUCGGAUGCUUCAAAAUUUUGAAGUUAUUUCUUUAAACAAAAAAAAAAUUUCUAAGGAGUUCUUUCUUUAAAAAAAAAAGGAGUUAUUAUUUCUCAGUCAUAUAUCUUAUAAAAUGAAAAUUUAAAGCACUUAUACUUGACUUGAGAUUAUGCUAGCCUCUAAACGUUUAAGUGACUUGGCACAUAAAGAAUAAUUAUUAAGAAUCUCGAUAUUUAGGUUCUAAUUGAUGUGAUGUUUAUCUAUUAAAUGAUAAUAAUAAUUAACUAAUUUUAAAAUUUAUUAGAUAAUAAUUCUAAUAGAUGAAUGGCAUGUGUAGUUAAAGAUAAACGUUGAGAUCUCUAAUAUUACUAUUAUUUUUAUGUAAAUACACAAUGAAUUAGUUUAUAUAUAUAUCAAAACAAGUUUGAUGCCAAUUAAGAACUUAUUCACUUGUUAAAUUAAAAAAAUUACUCAAUACGCUUUUUAAAAUUCCAAAACAGUCCUUAAUUAUUUGCUUACUUCAACUCAGAAAAUUAAAUAUAUUUCAUGCCAAUUAAGAACUUAUUCUCUCUCUCUCUAUAUAUAUAUAUAUUAGUCACAAAAUUAUUAGUAUGAUUUCUUAAAGGUUCGAUUGUUUCAAGAAGUAUUGGAAUUGGAAGCCCAAGUAUCAAAAUUGCUAAUAUGGAUGAAUCGAAACCAAACUGCUCAUUCUGUUUUCUUUUUAAAAAAAAACUGGUACUGUUUUGAAAUUGAUAUAAUGUCACCGUCAAGAAGCAGAACAAUGAAAUUAGAAAGAUAAAAAUUAUGGUUUAAGUUAAUAUAAUUUAUACCGAAUGGGUGUAGUAAAAGGGUGUCAAGAGCAAUAUAUUUUAUUGACUCACACAAGAUUGUCCCAAAUAGUAAAUUAAAUUUUGGGCAUUUUUGUGGUAUAAAAUUUAUAAAAGGGUGGGACUAUUGAAGCCACCAAAUUACUUUCUACAUCUAUUUUAAAAAAUAAAUUUAUUAAUUAUAUGUCUAAUAAUAUUAAAAAUCUCAAUAUUUAAGCCGUAUCUAAUCACAUGUGUCACUCAUCUAUUGGAUGAUAAAUAAAUAAAUAUUUUUUAACUUAAUUUUAAUGGAUUAAGAGCAUUAACUGCUACUUAAUACAAUAUUAUGUUCCCAUUCUUUUCUCCCUCUCCUCUCAUGUGCCUUUCUCUAAUUCUUUAUGUUUUUAACGGAAAAUACUACUAUAAUAAAAAUUUAGAUCACAAAAUUUUGACAAAAUGUAUAAAAAGAAAUAAAAUAUCUUGAUAAAAUGUAAGUUGACUGCAUCUAGCCUUAUAUUUUAAUAUGUUUAUACCUUAAUGAAAAUUUUGUAAGCCAUUUUUUGUACAAGGAGCAUUAAUGGGUUUUCCCACUCUAUUGCUUUGUAUGAUUAUGAUCUUCUGGAGGAGCCAUAUUCUUUUUGCUUCAAUUGGAAAAAGUCAUGCGAUGUGCUAUGUGGAUAAAUCAAAACGGUUCACAACCUCAAACAGAUGAGGAUUUUUUGUUUUUUAAUACAUUAGAGCCUAGUAUAAAUUAGAACAUAACAUAAUGAAAAAUAAAGGUCCUAUACAUAUCAUUGCAUAACUAAUAACCAAUCCCUUCAAGAGGGGUUUCAAAAACAUGAAGAUGAAGAGGAGGGGUUUCAAAUAGGGAUUGAGAUCCUCUUCUGAUUUGAACACUCUUGAUUUUUUACAGAUCUUGUGCCACGUGUGUUUUAAUAUUAGUGAAUGAUUAAAAUUUAACUAUUUUUUUUCUUUUUCAUUUAUUAAUCAUCAAUUAUAUUAAUAACACUUGUUCAGAUAAAUAUCAUAUUAGGAGAUUAUCUUGAUCCUUCAAAUUGAGGGGAUUAUAUAUCGCAUUAGGAAAAGUCCAAACCUCUUGUGGAGACCCAAAAGGCUUGUAAAUAGUGCCCAAUAAGCAUCUAUUAUUCAUAGGCUCUUUAGUAGGGGUGAGCAAAUCGGGUUUCGGUUUGGGUUUCAACCCGUUCGGGUUGGAGAAUUGAACCCAAUCGGGUUGAAAACGCCAACCCGAACCAAACCGAACCGAAUUUAAUUCGGUUCGGUUCGGUUCGGUUUGGGUUGGCAAUUCGGAUCGGAUUAGGUUGAUAAUUCGGGUUAAAAUUUCGGUUCGGGUUAAUUCGGGUUAGUUCGGGUUAGAAUAAUUCGGGUUAGAAUGGGUUGAAAUAAUUUAAUCUAAAAAUUCUAACAACUACCACUUAAAAUCUAAAAAUUUCAAUUCCAAACAUCUUUAACAACAAAUAUCAACUACAAAUCAUCCUUAAUAACAUUUCAACAAUUUAAAAAUCUCAAUUCCAAACAUUCCAAACAUCCUUAAGGAACAAUUUAAUUCAAAAAUUAUAACAAUCACUUAAAAUCCAAAAAUCUCAAUUCCAAACAUCCUUAAUAACAAAUAUCAACUACAAAUUAUCUUUAAUAACAUUUCAAUAAUUUAAAACUCUCAAUUCCAAAUAUCACAAUUUAAUUAAUAAUAACUACAAUAACAGCAACAACAUUUGGAAAUAUAUAUAACUUUGUCGAACAACAGUUAAGUUAAACACAAACAAUAAUAAUAACACUAAUAAUAACUACGAAUCAACAAUUCAACAUAUUGCCAUUUUCUAAAUUAAAAAAAAGCAAAGAUUAAUCAAUUAAUUAACAAUCUCCAAUUUAAUUAAUAAUAAGAGCAACAAACCCACUCCAAUUUAAUUAAUAAUAGUCUCCACUCUCCAAUUGUUCAAUUAUCAGUAAACCCACUCCAAUUUAACUAAUAACAAUCUCCAUUUGUUCAAUUAUAAAUCAACAACAACAAACCCACUCCAAAUAAUUGAAUAAUUACCAAUCAAUUAAUUAAAAAUAUACAAUUUAAUUAAUAGCAACAGGCUGUUAAAAACUUAAAAUUCGAUUCGGGUUGUUGCCAUCAGCUGCGAGCAAGUCAGCAAGUUACAGCAUCGGCAAAGCGAGACAAACCUUGAUCUCGGAGCAACUACAGCAUCGGCAGAUCGAGACUGUGCUGGGCUGAGUGGGAUGCAAGGUGAACGCAUAGCGCAGUUGCGGGCGAGCGUGCUGGCUGACGGCGAGUGGGCUGUGGUGAACGGCUGGUGUCUGUUGGAGCUGGACGGGGCUGCCGGCUGCUGCUGUCGUCGUGGGCCACGAAACUCAGAAAGUGAGAAGAGGGAGCAAGGAGGGGGAGGGAGUGAGAUGGUGAGACUGAGAGUUUCUGUUGGAGCUGAAUGGGGUUGCCGACUGCUGCUGUCGUCGUCGGCCAUGAAACUCAGAAAGUGGGAACUGAGAAGAGGGAGCAAGGAAGGGGAGGGAGUGAGACGGUGAGAUUUUUGUUUAGGGAUUUUUUGGUUUAAUGUAUAUAUAUUUUUUAAUUCAAAAGCUGAAUCUUAAAAAAAAAAAAAAGCUUCAACCCGAACCGAAAUUUAACCCGAACAGGUUGAAGCUUUGAAUCCGUUCGGGUUUCACCGGUUAACCCAAAUCGAACCGAACGCCCACCCCUACUUUUUAGUAAGUAGUCUUUCGCUAACUUAUCACUCAUUCAAAGAUUCUCCCUAGAUUUUCCCUUGCUUUCUCCGGAUCCAAACUGACUUAAGCCUCAAAAUGUGGCUGUUCCACCGUCAGCUCUUCUCAAAUGUCAAUCUCAACUCUCAAGGCAACUAUCUCAAUCCAAGGGCAAGUCCGUAAUUCUCUAGCAUUUGACGGUAAGAAUAUACACUCAAAUCUUAGAAAUGAAUAAUUCAUAUUAAAUUAAGAGUAGUUAUACAAGUAUUAAAUAUUUUUGUACAAAUUGAUGUAGUGAAUUGAAAACAUCUCACGUCAUUGCUUUUUAUUAUUUAUAUUUUCAAGUAGCAAAUCAUGCUAUGCCAUAUCAAUUUAUAUAAAAUUGAACAAAAUUAAAAUUUACAUCAAUUUAUGUAUAUGUGUUUAUGGGCCUAGAAUUAUUCUUAAAUUGAAUAAAAUUAUAUUUGUUGGGAGAAUUUUUCUGUUUUAAUGAUUUUACCCGACUCGAAUAUGGAUUAAUCGGGGGUCCAAUGUGAUUUUUGGAUAUCAAAUAAUUCAAUACACUGAAAAAAAAAUUAAAAGAUUUUUUUUUUUUUUUGGUUAUAAUUCAAUCUUCAUUGGAAAAAAAAACCAUUGUAAGCACAGCAGCCAUCAGUUGCAGUGCUAAUAUAGUAAUCAAAAGAUGGGAUUACAGGUUAAUGAGAAUUAAUAUUCUAAUAACUCUAUUUGGGAUCUGACAAAUUAAAACCUCCUCGUGCUUAUCUCUCUUUGCGCGCAUGCAUACAAACAUUCACAAAUUUUUUCCACCAAGUAUUUUUUCCACAUUGUCGUGGAGUCUUGGGUAGCCACAUACUCCACACAAGCUCACAGUACUACGCCAUCAUCUCAUCUAAAUAAUUAAAAGCCUAAAUCAAAUAGACUUCCCAGCAAAAAUAUGUGAGCGCCGUUUUGAAUAUACAAUAUAUAGAUCCAGUUUUUAGAAACCAUUAACAUUCCAUCACAAGAACAUCAACACCAAUUAACCCAGCUGACAGAAGAGAGGAGAAAUAAAUAAUAAUAUAAAUUACACUUAACGACCCUUAAGGUCAACUGAGAAGAAACAUGAUUCAUAAUAGUUAAUAUAUAUGCCACUGCUAGCUAGCUAGCAGCUACAAUUCAAUAAUGCGAAUUAUAUUAUGCCCACAGCCACUGCAACUCCUCCGGCGGAGGGAACUCCAAGUCGAAGAUCAGCCUAUUAACCUCCAAGUCCUUAAACGACACGCCUUUUGAUAACAUGGAAACCGGUGACACAUUAUAAUUAUUAUUAUCAUCGUUGACGACUUCGCCUUCAAGCUUAUUAACCUCAACUGAUAUAACUUCUCUCCUUGAAUCUGCUGCUGAUGAUGAGUUGCUUUCUUUAAUCCAUGCAACGCUAGAAUCCUUGCCCGUAAGCUUCUGAACGACGGAUUUGAAGCUGACGGGGUCAGUCUCUACGUACUGAGUAUCCAUUAGUACUACCUUAACGGCUUCUUGCUUUUUGCUUGACAUCGUUGUAACUAGUAUAAAUUAAAGAAGGAGAGGAAAAGGAAAAAAAAGCGCUUUUUGGAGAAUCUUUUCCUGCGUUAAAUUGUAUGAUUAUUUUAUUAGAAUUGUGAGUUUUACUUAUAUACAGGAAGCUAAGAGGGAGAGUCGCAAGAAAUGGGGACACAAGGUGAAGGUGGGGUAUUGAUGAGGCGUUUUGGCAGUCAAUAAUGACUCACACUGGAUCGAGUCAAGGGCACGCAACUUGGAAUCUUCAUGGUCAAUCUUAUUGUUCCAAUUUCCAUCGCCACAUAUGACAGCUUUUUUUUUUUUUUUUUUUUUUUUUUUUGAUUAUACGAGACUAUUGCUCAAAUUACAACUCAUAUUACAUGAGAAUAUAACUGAUAUGUACAAAUCAGAUUAUAACUGGGACCAACAUACAUCAAAUCUAAUAGAGCGCUGCCCAGAUUUUAACCUUCUCAAAUAUUCGAGGGAUGUCUACUCCUCGUACUGGGGCAAGGAAGCAGACUGCCUUCACUCAAUUUUAACCCACAUAUGACAGCUUUAUUAGCUUACCUUACCUAAGUUUUACAGUUGAUCUUCGAGCUAUCUAGCUAACGGGAAUUAAACUUAUAAAUAAGUUUUAACACAUCUUGUCCUGUUAAUUCAGUUUUAUUCAUGCUAUCACUUUUAGCUUUCAUUUGUUUACAUUGGAUGGUUGUAACGAUCGAGAACAAACUUGACGAUUAUGUGAAGUAAAUUUGAAGAGAGGUUUGUAGAAUCUCGUCACUAGGAAUUCGGUGUUCUUCGAUUUAUUAUUAUUAUCAUUAUUAUUUUCUUAUUUUUAACUCUUCUCAGUCACUUUGAUUCUUAUCAUACGUUAUAACGUCUAAUCAAUUCCUAAUUAAUUAAUCACAUUCUCAUUAUUUAUAUAGUAUUUAAAAGAAUUAAAAAAAAAAACUGUGACGAGAUUUACUUUUUUUAUAUAAUUUAUAUCACCACUUUGAUUUUUAUUCUCUCUCUUUAUAUAUAUAAAAUACCCAUUAGAGUCUUCAAAAUUUACAUAAACAGUAAAAUCAGUUUUUGGUAUGACUCAAUAUUAUAGUUUGUUAAAUAAUUAGGCAGUCAUGAGAAAUUACGUUUAAGUCAACUAUAAAUAAUGAAACUUAGUAGGUGCCAAAUAAUAAAUAAUUAAAAUAUGACUAAGAAAGUCCGUAAGGAUGGAUCUGAAAUUGACGAAGACCGAAGAUACAUUAGAUGGAAAAGUUUAGAAGCAGUGGCGAGAUUUUCAUGGCCCCUCUCUUGUCAUAUUUUUGGACGAGAAUACCGCCACUUGUCCUAAACUUUUCCUUCAAAAUUAUCUUCCAUCCUCGUCAGUGUCAAAUCAAAUCCAUCCUUAUAUUAUCGCCAAGUAAAGGAAAGGGACCUGCUGAUGGCUGAUGCUAUGCCCUACGAGUGUGCAAUGACUGUGGAAGAGCAAAAGGAUCUCCGUUGGGCUUCGGGUGGAGUGUCAGUUGCUAUCCGGAUAACAAGUAUUGGGCUUCCUCGGCCCAAACUUUUAACUUCACGGGCAUCUCUGCUUAAUGUUGCUCGCCGCUCCACUUGCACUGGGUCUCAACCAAACAGAAGCCCAAGCCUGAUGCAUUUUUUCCCUUAUUAUUUUAUUAUUUUUUUCCCUUGAGUUGAUUUGAGCUUCUUCUAAUUCUCAGUUUUUAAUGCUACCAAUUAAAAUCUUUUUGUUUAAAUUAUUUUUUUAAAGGGUAGAAGUGUAGGUAAAUUUUUGUAUUCAAAUUUAAUACUAUUUUUUAGGAAUUUGUAUUCGAGAGGUCAAUUAGAUUUAUUCUAUAUUGAAGUAUCGUAUUAUCGUAGAAAAAGAUGCUGCAAUUAUAAAACAAAGGUUAACAAUGCAAGGUAAUUUUUUUAACAAAAAAAUUGAUAAAAAUAAUUAAGAUGUUAUAAUUUUUUUAUUAUUAAAAAAAUAAAAAAAUUAACUUAACCAAAUUGGGUGUGGCUAAAUAAUCGUCUUAAUUGAAAUUGAGGUUGGACAUGUAUAACUUAAAAGAUAUGUAACUUGGAAGUUAAGUUAAUUUGAAUUUAUACUUUUAUGAUAAAAAGUCUAUUAUAUUUUUAUUAAUUUUGUCAAAUUACUAUUUAAAAUUGUAUUUAGUAUAUAUUAUAAAUUUUUAUUUCAUAUUUAUAAUUUUUUCCAUAAUCGCUGUAACUUUAAAACUACCGUAUCUCAAUACCAAAUAGGAGUUAUAUUAUAUGUAAUUUAUAUCCAAUUUAAGAGUUGCAUCUAAUAACUCAAAACAUGCAUCUAAUCAAAUAUAAUACUUGAUUAGAUGUGUAAUUCUUGAAUCAAAUAUAAAUUAUAUAUAAUGUAAUUUAGUAUAACCUAACUUUUAAAUCAUAACUGUAAGUAUUUAUCAAAACACUUUAAAAUUAAGACUUAAAAAUUAUAUCUAUUCAAUUAACGUAUCAAAGCAACCCUAAAUAAAGUUGAUCGAAGACCGUAUUUAGGGUUGCUUUGAUAGUUUAAUUGAAUAGAUAUAAAAUCUGAAAAAUGGGCAAUUGAAUUUAUUCGUCACGAGAAAAAAGAAAAAGAAAAAAGAAAAAAAAGAAAGUUCUGUAUGCAUCUUCUUGCUACAUGGUACAUAAACAACUCUUAUUAAUUCUAGAGAGUAGGAAACGUAAAAAGAAAAUUAAAUUAAAUUAAACAAAUUUUUUUUUUUAAAAAAAGAAAACUAAAAAACAGCUUCUUUCUAUCCCUGUGUCCGUCUCGCGUACAGGAGGAGCCGGGGGAGGAGGAUAUCUAAAAAUCUAAAUAGAUAUCAAAUCUUCUUCAUUUUUUCACUUCUGCGUGCGUGUGCUUUUUUUUUCCCCCUUUUUUUUUUUUUUCAAUUUGCAGUGAGUGAAUUAAAAAUGCACUAAUAAACGACCUAUUUCAUGUCUCUCCCCAACAAACGCACAGCCAGCAACAACAACAGCAACAAUUAUUCACCUUCGGCAAUGAAGAAGGCCAAGUCCCAAGCCGUGGCCUGCUCUGUGGACACCGCCAACAAGAACGGUCUCCACCACGACAACGACGCCGUUUUCGAUCCCUCUUCUAUUUCUCUCGAUGACGAUCUUAAGCCCGACGAACCCCGACAACAAGCCGCCGCCAAUUUGUCCCGCAAAAAAGCCCAGCCCCCUCAGCCCGCCAAAAAACUUGUCAUCAAGCUCCUCAAAGGUACGCCCUUGCUUACUGCUUGUUUCUUUUAUUCGAUCAUUCGUCUUUUGUUUGUUUAGGUUUUGGUUGAGGAUAUCGAGGGUUUUGCUUCUGAGUAUUGGAGAGGCUUUAAAUUUGGAUUUUUGUUUGUUUUGAGCUGAUCUUUUCGCGUGGUUACUUGAAUUUAUUUGGUGGACCUUUGAAUUGGAUUGGUUAUGGGAUCUGAGUUCUCGUUUUUCAUUUGUUAAUUGAGGAACUUUAUCCAGUGGUUGAAAUUGAUUUGGGUAUUUCUCACUUUUGCUAUGUUUAUUUGUAACCAUUAGGAAAUUGCAAUUUCGGAUUGAUUGGCCGAGUCUGUUUGGUUUCAUUUUAUUUUAUUCCCUGAGGCACUUAUUAAACCAGGAGCUGACUAGGGUUUUAUUUUUAUCACUUGAGUAAGUAAAAAUGAGACCAAUCUAGGGUUUUCCCUGGUGAUAGUUUGAAUCAAUCUGAUCAGUUGUUAGAAGUGAUUUGGUAGCUAGGGUUUCGGUGUGCCGUUCUAAUUUAUCGUUAUUCAUUGCGAUGAUUUGGUACAAUUCAAUUUUCUAUUUAAUUUGGGUUGCAUAUGCAAAUGUUUAGUGCAACUGGAAAAACCUUGUUGAGGCAGAUGUUGCUAGUCUAGCAAUUUGAAACUUGAAGAAUUCUCAACUUAUGGUCUAAUUUUAGAAGAUAUGCUGACGUGAUAAAUAAUUCGGAAUUUUGUGUCUGUGAAGCUAAACCCACACUGCCUACAAAUUUUGAGGAGGAUACAUGGGCAAAGCUGAAGUUAGCUAUAAAAGCAAUAUUCUUGAAGCAACCAACUUCCUGUGAUUUGGAAAAGCUAUAUCAGGUAGAUAUAAAUAAUUUUUCAUUCUUUGUUUAAUAAUGUGGCUCUUAUUAAUGUGAAAUUUGUCGUGCAUGAGGGUUUCACAAAAGAAAAAUUAUGUCAUCCUUAGGCUGUCAAUGAUCUUUGCCUGCACAAGAUGGGGGGAAACCUUUAUCAGCGAAUUGAAAAGGAGUGUGAAGAACAUAUAUCUGCUGCAAUUCGAUCGUUGGUCGGUCAAAGCCCUGACUUGGUGGUUUUCUUAUCACUGGUUGAGAGAUGCUGGCAGGAUCUUUGUGAUCAGAUGUUGAUGAUUCGUGGUAUAGCUUUGUAUCUAGAUAGAACAUAUGUGAAACAAACACCAAAUGUGCGUUCAUUGUGGGACAUGGGAUUGCAGCUUUUCCGGAAAUAUCUUUCUUCAUAUUCAGAAGUUGAGCACAAAACUGUCACUGGUCUUUUAAGGAUGAUUGAGAGGGAAAGGUAAUGCUUAGAAAGUUAAAUAUAACCAAUACUGUGUAUCAUUAAAUCUUCUAGAUUAUCAAUAAUAAUGAAGUUAUUUUUCUCUUUUUAUAUCUAUGGGUUGAAUUUUUUUAUGUUCCUUUAGUUGAUCCUGGCACAAAUUUUAUGAUUGAAUUGUGGUUGUGGGUGGGGGUUAAUUUGAUAUGCUCUGGAAUUCACAGUGUUUUCUUUUUUUCCUUUGGGGUGGGGUGUGGUUGCACUGUCUUUUAGAUUAGGUGAAGCUGUUGAUAGGACACUCCUUAAUCAUCUAUUGAAGAUGUUCACCGCUCUGGGAAUUUACUCCGAAAGCUUUGAGAAACCAUUUCUUGAGUGCACGUCGGAGUUUUAUGCCGCCGAAGGCAUGAAAUACAUGCAGCAAUCAGAUGUUCCAGAUUACUUGAAGCACGUGGAGGUACUGUUUAUAUUCCUCUAUGCCCACCAUUAGCUGCCAUAUAUUUGUCUCUUUUUAUUGCAUGAUACAUAACUACAAAUUGCUUGUUUUACGUUGCUCUCUGUUACCUAAAAUGUUGAACUAGAUAGUUGGGAUUCCUGGAUUUGAAAAAUAUCUGGGAACAAAAUUUGUGUAGCCAACAAAAUUUGGGGGAAAAAAUUGGAAUCCAACUGCACUACAAUCCAGGAAUCCCAGAUCGGAUAAUUUUCCCUGGAUAGUUUUGUUUUACUUAUGAUCUCAUGAUGUAUGUUGAAAUAUUUAGGAUUUGCUGAUGGCUCCUUCUCUUUCACAGAUAAGGUUGCAUGAAGAACAUGAAAGAUGUUUACUAUACCUUGAUGUAAGCACAAGAAAGCCACUUAUAGCAACUGCCGAAAGGCAACUUCUUGAACGACAUAUAUCUGCGAUUCUCGACAAGGUGUGGAGUUAAUUCUUUUAGCUUAUUCUCUCUAUGCAUAUACUAGAAUUUGGAUUGCUUUUGUAGUUAUGGUUUCUUUCUGUUCAGGGGUUCACAAUGCUGAUGGAUGGCCAUCGUACUGAGGACCUACAGAGGAUGUACUCACUAUUUUCAAGGGUCAAUGCUCUCGAAUCAUUAAGGCAGGCCCUUGCUAUGUACAUUCGUAGAACUGGGCAUGGCAUUGUCAUGGAUGAAGAGAAAGAUAAAGAUAUGGUUUCGUCUCUUUUGGAGUUCAAGGCUUCUCUUGAUACAAUAUGGGAACAAAGCUUCUCAAAGAAUGAAGCAUUUUGCAACACAAUAAAGGACGCAUUUGAGUAUCUAAUUAAUCUUCGUCAGGUCAGCAUAUCCCACUUUCUUUUUCCUUCCACCAUUUCAACGUUACGAUUGGACAUUAAAAAAUAAACUAUUCCAUUUGUAUUUAUUUGUUAGUUAAAUGCCGGAUUUGAAUUGUAGGAUAACAAAAUUUCAUCAUGAAGAAAGUAUGAGAGUAGCAUUUAAAGAGGAUAGGUCAUAAUAGUGAUUGUUAUGGUUGCUUUUGUUAUUACAUAUAUGACUAAAUGUAACCAAAACUGGCUCCAGAUUUCAGAUCAUAUGACAAGAUGUUAAAAGCUUGCACCAGAUAUCAGUCAGGACCUUAUUUUGUAUCAGUCUGCCAUUACCACUAAUUUUUUUGAAGAUUAUAUAUAGAAAUUUGUGGCUAAUAGUUACAUGUUUCCCCUGUUUACAGAACCGACCUGCUGAGCUGAUUGCAAAGUUUCUGGAUGAGAAGCUUCGGGCUGGAAAUAAGGGUACUUCAGAAGAGGAAUUGGAGGGUACACUUGAUAAAGUUCUGGUUUUAUUCAGGUUUAUUCAGGUAACUAUACAUCCUUGACAGAAAUUUCAGUUUUUUUUUAAAUAUUUAUUCUCUAGUCUUCUAUGAUUUAUUAUUAUUAUUGUUGUUGUUGUUGUUUUGCAAAUUUAGGGUAAAGAUGUGUUUGAAGCAUUCUAUAAAAAGGAUCUUGCAAAAAGGUUACUGUUGGGGAAGAGUGCUUCCAUUGAUGCAGAGAAAUCUAUGAUUUCCAAGGUUAGUGGCAAGAAGUCUUAUUUUGACUUCACGUUGCUGCCAAAUGUUUAUGAUGUUGUCAUACUAACAAAUGUCUAGUUCUAAUGCAGCUAAAGACUGAAUGUGGCAGCCAAUUUACAAACAAACUUGAAGGGAUGUUCAAGGUGUGCAUGUUUUUCCAUAUAAAUUCUGUUUAGGGAAAUGCAUUGAUUUCUGAGGAAAUUAAAACUUUAGAACUAAAAUUGAGUGAUCACCUAGUUGAUUGCUUAUCUAUUAUCAAUAGGGAUAUUAUCAUUUUACCACCUAAUAUUUUCUGACAUAUCACUUUCCCACUAAAGUUUUUUGGCAAUUCCUUUUUCCCACUUAAUGUUUCAAUUUUUAUCAUUUUACCACCAAACCGUUAGUUAAUGUGAUUUUAAACAGAAAUUAUAGUAAAAGUCUAUUUUACUCCUAAACUGUGUAAGUGUAAUUUAACCCUUUAAAUUAAAAAAAAUAUAGAAUUAAUUAUAUACAAAGAAAUAAUACUUUUAUGUCUAAAAUAAUUAAUUGAUAAAAUUGUAAAUAUUACACCUGGUGAAAUUUAUAAAAUACUAAAUAUACAGAAAUUCCUGAAAUACCCUUGCGACAUCAGCAAUUUAUUUAUUAAUGGAGUUAAACUGUUUGAUGAUAAAUUGAAAAAAAACUGAAACAUAAAGUGGGAAAAAGCAAUUGUCAGAAAACUUUUGUGGUAAAGUAAUACGUCAGAAAACAUUAGGUGGUAAAAUGAUAAUAUUCCUUAUCAAUAAAAAAAAAACUGUAAUGAAAUGAGUAAAACAUUAGCUUUUCCUGGCAAAUUAUGAUGCAAAUUUGAUAUGCCCCUCGAACUUCUUUAACCAGUUUUUAUUUUGAAGCGUCUUUCAGUUUCUGCAUGUCUGGUUUUCUUGGAAGUGCUAGAUAUGCUUAUAUUCAUGUGAAGGUCAAAUUUUAGUAGCAUUGCUGUGCACUUGGAGUAGUGGCCUCAAUUUGCUGAGGGAAGCUUUAUUAAAAUAAAUUUUAAAAAAAUCCACGAGAAGGGGAGACAAAACAGCUGAACGCAUCAAAAUAAAAAUCGGAAAACAAAAAAAUAAGCAUAUAAUGUGAUACAAGAAGGUAAUGAAGACCAAUGUCUAAAAAAAUUUGUUAAUUAGACACACACACAUACUACAUGAACUUGAAUCCAAGACCUAGGUCUUGGUAAGGCCAUUCUUACCUCAUAAUUGUUGUCACGUGAAGUGUUAAUUAUCAAACCUUGUGGUCUCCAAUCUAUGAAUUUUAAAAAUUACACGAUCAAGUGUUUACUUGAUUUUCUUAGACAGGCUGUUGAAAUAUAGCUCAAUAGUUGGAGAGCAUCAUUAGAAACCAAUAAUAACCUCUUUAUUCUUGCCAGUUUAACACUUGAUCUGUUGAUGUAGCAUUUGUUUUGUGAAUUCAGUUAACCUUUUCUGUUGACUUUUUCAUUCAUCUCAGCAGCAGUUUCUACUUUUUUUUUUUUUUUUUAACCCCCCACACAUUCUCAGGAUAUUGAAUUAUCAAAGGAGAUAAAUGAGUCCUUCAAACAGUCAUCCCAGGCCAGGACAAAACUCCCAUCAGGGAUUGAGAUGAGUGUCCAUGUCUUGACAACAGGGUAGGUUGAGAUCCUAAAUUACCAUAUAUUUCAGAAUUUUGUUAUAAUAUUCCAAUCAAUAUUACUGAGGAUUUAAAAUGUUUUUUCCAUUUGGUGGCUGGCAUAUAGGUACUGGCCCACAUAUCCCCCCAUGGAUGUUAGGCUUCCUCAUGAACUGAAUGUCUAUCAGGUUUGGCAUAAGCUGAAGAUGGCUGUUUUCUAUUACGGGUUCUGAGAGUAUAGUGUAUAUGUUUGUGUGACCCUUCUCUUUACUUUUGCUGCAGGACAUUUUUAAGGAGUUCUAUUUAAGCAAGUACAGUGGAAGGCGCUUAAUGUGGCAAAAUUCAUUAGGUCACUGUGUGUUGAAAGCUGAGUUUCCUAAAGGUAAAAAGGAGCUGGCAGUUUCCCUAUUUCAGGUUGGUAUCUUAUAUUGUGCAUUACCUUCAUUGUUGUGCUGUCUGUUCCUUUUUUUUUAAUAGAUGUUACCUUAAAGUUCUAAUAAUACUGUGCUCACAUUUUUAUCGGCCCUCCAGACAGUUGUUUUGAUGUUAUUUAACGAUGCUCAAAAGCUUAGUUUUCAAGAUAUUAAGGAUGCCACUGGCAUAGAAGAUAAGGAACUGAGGAGGACUCUACAGUCUCUUGCUUGCGGUAAAGUACGCGUCCUGCAAAAGGUAGGUGCUUAUUGCUGGAGUGGCAGCUUGGUUUCUUGGUUUGAUAAAGUUUUGUAUACUUUUGGGUCUUCAUUUUUUUCCCUUUGUGAUAACUUUUUUUUUUUAAAAAAAAAAAAUUCUACAGUUGCCAAAGGGAAGGGAUGUGGAGGAUGAUGAUUCAUUUGUGUUCAAUGAAGGAUUUACUGCUCCCCUUUAUCGUAUUAAGGUAUGGGCUUCUGUUAUGCAGCAAUAUUGUGACACACUUUCUACACUAGACUGUUUGAUUUGCCACCUAGAUGUAACUUAACCGUUGUGUUUCUUUGGUAUGCAGGUAAAUGCUAUACAGAUGAAGGAAACAGUGGAAGAAAACACUAGCACCACUGAAAGAGUAUUUCAGGACCGUCAAUAUCAGGUUUGCCUCCGCAGAUUAUGUUAUUCAUUUUGACAAAACAUAAGUAUCCCAUAUGGUUAAUGUGGCUGUGAGUUCCAAGCAGACAUGAAUUAUUUCUUUGUUGUUGAAUGUGUUUCAGGUGGAUGCUGCCAUUGUUCGGAUAAUGAAGACUAGAAAAGUGUUGAGUCACACACUUCUAAUAACCGAACUCUUCCAACAGGUACUACCACCCGUGCUCCAAUUUGAGCUUUUUAUUUACCUUAAGCAUAAUAAGAUCUCUCAUAUCCAGUCACAGUCAUAUUGGACCAUGCCACAAAUAACAAAUAUAACGUGGUAAUUGUUUCAUUGGAUAGCUGAAAUUUCCUAUAAAGCCGGCCGAUCUGAAGAAAAGGAUUGAGAGCCUUAUCGAUAGGGAGUACCUGGAGCGUGACAAGAACAAUCCGCAGAUAUAUAAUUACCUGGCCUAGUCCCCCAUUUUGUCACACACACAAAUGUGAUGUUUUUCUUUGCAUGGCGGCGUAAUCAAAUGUUAUCUCUCCCCUGUACAGAAAGUUGUAGUUCCUUUUUUUUUUCUUCUUCUUUGUUUUUUCGUUUUUUAACCCAACAUUUGUAAUUGUAAAGUAUAAUCGGCCUUUCUUUUGAGACCUUUCAUCUCAUUCUGGACUUGUGAGCUUCUUGAAAUAAAUUACUUAUUUUUUUCUUUCUUUUAAUCAUAUGAGAAGCUGCACCUUGCUGGUUGCUGCAGUUUACAUGAGGUUUAUUUAUUAAUUAUUAUUAUUUUUUUUUAAGGUAGUAAUGUUGGUAUGUAAAGUAUGCUAGUAUUAGUAAUAUAUUUGAUAAUAUGGUAAAAUAUAGCAACAGCAGAAAAUAUAUGAUUCUCCACGAAAUUCCAUGUCAUUCGAUGAUGAUAAAUUCUUAUUUCCCUCCAUACGAAAUCCGAUGGUAUAUAAAUAAUACAACUCAAUUACAUAGCACAGCAAACUGAGAAGCCAUCAUCACAGGCAGAUACAAAAUAUAAAAGUUCCCAAAGAAAGCAGGAAAAAAAAUAAAAAUAAAAAUAAAAAAUAAAGUGAAAUGGGCAAAUUUGGCAGUUGAAGUGAAAUCAAAGGGGAUGAUUGAUAAUCAGACGGCGGGAUCAGAGGGAGAUGGAGAUGGAGCAGCAGCGGGAUGAUGAGGGUAAAGAGGAGCGCGAAUAUUGGUAUCGGCAUCGGCAUCGGGAUCGUAAUCGGGAUUGAGGGAUCGGUCAAUAGCUUCACGGCCUUUUUCGAGACAAGGCUUGCACGCCAUCUCAAUUGCAAUCCAACCCAGCACCACUCCCGCUAUCGCUAUUAUCGCUACUGUUAUUGCAGCCAUCUCUCCUCUUCUCCUCGCUGCCGGUGAUUCUAUUAUUUUAUUUAUUUAUAAAUAUUUCUGUUACUGACUACCGACGAGGAGAAGCUGGAGAGGAGAGAGGAUGUGGAUAUGUUCUGUCCUCAUCACAAACUCACUCACCAGGUUUUAUUUUGAACUUGGGCCUCGCCUUUUUGGCACUAGCGAGCUAAAUUGAAUCCUGAGAGUAGUGUGCUAUUGGCACCCGUCCAUUAUCUCACAACACCCCCCCACCCUUUUUUUUGUAUUUUUUUUUCACUCAUUCAAGCAUUUAUGGGUUAAAAUUUAAACAUAAAAACUUAGAAGCAAGUAAUCCAACACUAAAAAGAUAGAUGCCAUUGCUUUACUUAUAAGCUCCUUCGCCGAAUUGCAAUUUUGCCUUAAAAAAAGAAAAUCAGUGAUGAACAGACCGACGGCGAGCAUGAAGGUGGAUAGGAUCGGGUACGACACAUCCGGCACUAGACUUGUAAUUGCCAUCUCAGAUGUUGGUUAGCGAAAUAAGUCCCCAAUUUCGACUUUCUCUACUUUGCUUCUGACUUGAAUUUUUGUUCAGUUAAUACUUUUAAACUAAAAUAUAAGUAUGUGAACUUAAAUCGACGAUUCGUUUUAUAAAGUUUCAUGACAUUUUCGAGAAAGCAUUUUCAGAAUUCUUUAAAAAAAAAUAUUUUCAGAUUCAUUUCAAAAAACAUUUCUCAAGACAAUGUUCAAACACAUUCCCAUAUUUAUUUAAAAAAUAUUUUAUUUUGUCACAUUUUUCUUAAUUCCACUUUCUAAAGCUAUAAAAUCCUAGAACAUUAAAUAUUAAAUUACUAGUUCUUCAUUAUUCACUAGUGUACGAUGCUCUCACAUCAACUAUUCACAACUGGUGUCAUUAUUGUUUAAACUCAAAUCUACUACUCAACGAAACAACAAUCAUAGUCAAAGUGCAAUCGAAGCUUUUUUAGACCAUACUGACGCCUGCAUACGCUUUUGGACCUUACCCUUCAAACCAAACAACGAAAUCAAUUAAACUCAUACCACUAAGUCCGAAUUUCUAAUCAAUUAAAUUCAUACCAACACUCCAACCUCACUUUAAUCGAGAAAGAACCUAUCCUUGUGACACAUGGCCUAGUGAAAUUCCUACCCCAAACACUCUUAUUAUUCAACGGUUAAAUUGAAAUGUUUAUGCCUAAAAGCAAGCUGCUUGUAAAAAGAAUCACUUGCAUGUUGAAGGAGAUCAUACCAUAGAUCAAUUGUACUGUGUAUUUGAUAACGAGUAAUGACAAUCAAAUCUUUUAAGCAUGUCAUGAUUAGAUUAGAACCUAACAUAAAAUAGAUUCCAUCUCAACAAGCACACCAACCAACCCCGCCCACCCACUGCAAACAACAGCUACUAAGUCUUGUCCCCUAAAGGCUAAAACAAUUUGCUUAACUAUACCAACUGAUCUAACUUUCACCGAUCAGUCUCUUUCUAAUUCUGCAGCUGCAACUAGUUUUGUUGUUAUCCCAGCAAUUUCUGUAACUUCAAAUUCAAUGCAUGCAUGCGUUUCCUCUAUCUCUGUCAAUGAAUGUUUAUCAAAAACACUCAACAGAGACCAACAAAUUUUUUUUUUUUCUUUUAAACUCCAUCAUUCCCAGCAGAUACAACUCCUAAAAACAUUUCCAACUACUUCACAGGAUUAGCAAAAUAUUAUCAUCAGUGUUGUGUAGUGCUUGCUUGCCAUUGACGACCGUAAUACACUAAAAAUUCUAAGAUAUUAGACUAUUUAAAUAAGAGAUAUGAUUGUUAAAACACUUCCAUUGCCAAUUCCUAUAAGGAGGGAAAAUGAAAAAAAAAGGGGAAAAGAAGAAAAGCUGAGCAGCUGUGUAGACAAUACAUUCAUUCUAAUAACACAGAGCUAAUAAAUUUAUUUGAUUACAACUUAUUCAACAACACAGAAAACAUGAGAUCAGAUUAUUUGGAGAACUAAGCAAACAGAACCUGAGAGCUUGAGGGUGUCAAGUCAGAAAAAUUAUCUGGAGCAUCAACAACUUGCCAUUGUACACUGAAGCUCCACUUUUUCUCAGAGGUGCUCAGCCUUGUGAUAUGACCCACAGCAACAUGCAGAUUCCGACCCACAACAUAGACUCUGCAAUCACAUGCAUUUACGGCAAAGGGUUUGCAUAUCUGCUCUGGUAGCGGAGGCCCCUCUAUUGUCUCCCACGAAUCAGUGCUUGGGUCAUAAACUUUGAGCUUCAUUCUUUCAAGCUCUGAAACCACAAACAAAUGCUCAUAAACCACAACACUUGAACCAGUCCACCCUUCUCUCAGUCCAACAGCCAUGCUUUCCCAAUUAUCAGUACUCGGAUCAUAGACCUGACCUCUCGGAGAGACAAAAAAUGGCCACAACCAGCCUUCCGUCACAAGAAGUUUGCCAUCUAGAACUGCAGCAUCAUAAGAUGCCAUGUUUGUUCCCAUGCUUGCAAUGGUGCGCCAAUUUCCCUUUACAGGAUCCAAAACCUCAGCUGAGUCAAGCUCGAAAAGGUCUGCACUGCUUCCUCCGGCCACAUAUAUCAUCCCCCCAAUCACCCCACUAGCAAAAAAUGAUCUGGCUGUAAUCAUCUUGUUCAUGACUGUCCAACGGUUUUUUUGCAUUUCAUACUUCAAGACCAAGUCAAGAGGACAAUCAACAUCAGAGACCAUACCUCCACACACAAACAAAGUACCCUCACGAGGGAUUGAAACACACCUAAAUCCAUGUGGACAAACCUUAUCCUUGCACGGCAUUGCCGGGAUAGUGUGCCAACAAUAGUGGGUAAGGUCUAGAACCUGCCACUGAAUUUUUCCAGUACACUUGUGAAAGGCAAAAACAAAGAGCCAAGGGUCCUUGAAACCCAGUUCCUUUCUUCGGGUAAAAAAACGCUCUUUAUUACCAAGAAGCAGGUGCCAUCUCUUGCAAACAGCUCUGCAGGCUGCAUGGCUCUCAACUGGAAGCCGGAGGAGACAAUUGAGUGCAACAUCAUCAGGAAGGCCCGGAAUGAAUGGUUCUGCUCUGAGAGAUGCUUCUAAUUCAGGUGAAGGAUUUAACAAGGAAGAUUGUAUCACAGCUAACCUAAACUUUGGGGAUAACGUCAUCUGGGAAUCCCCUAGCUUAUGUACAGGCGCUUGUUGUGAUGAUAAUCGAACCCUUUGCAUUUUAAUUGUCUUAAGACUCAAUAUUUUAAGAACCUAUAAUAUCACGAAGGACUUGUUCCACACUCAGAUUUCCUAUUUAUAUUAUGCCUCCAAAUGCAAAUAUUCAAUGAAAAAAAACAACAAUAAAUAUGCUCUAAUUCCAAACGGCAACAGAAAGAGCUAAUCCAGAAUCUCAAUUACCUACGUUUUUUUUUUCCUCCACUCUUACUGCAAAAACAACAAUUCCCUUUCCACCAAUCCUCAUAUGAGAUGAACAUGAAACAAAAAGUACAAACUUACCAAUACUAAAAUAUCCAAAUUCGAAUUCGUAUGUACCAAAAACAAUCAAAAUAUCAACUUGCAAGAAGAACCCAGAUUAUAACUUUUCACACACAAAAGAAAAUAAAAAGAAGAAGAUAUCUAAGCUAUUACGAGGUAAAAGAAAGAAACCCACAAGAACGCAGCUCAUUAAAUUUAAAAAAAAUUGAUUAAACUAUUGCCUAAAAGAAUGGGAAUUCGAAACCCAGUAAAGUUCUCGAAUAACACAACUUGGAAACUAAACAAAAAACAGCAAAAAUUAAUGACAAAAAUUGAAAUAAAAGAAACUUACAGGCAGGUAACUGUGAAAUAAAAUUGGUGAUAUUCGGUUUUGAUUUGUUGCUAAUAGAGGUGACCCAAAGACUCUUUCUUCUUGUUUAAGGAUGUUCAUUCAUUUAAUGAAUUCAGUGGCAAUGGUUUCUUGAUUCUGUAGACAAUAACUCACACGUCGCACGCGUCCACAGACCUUAUAGGUGACGUGGCAAGUGGAAAAGGCUUGUUUCAGUUGUCGUUUUAUGGAGAGUGAAGUACAAUCGCUGUUAGUGAAUGUGUGGAUGAUCCUGUGUAUCUUUUUUGCCACGUGUACGAUUGUGAAGGCUCAAACCAAAAGUGCCAAACGGCGUUGCGUAAGCUGAUUUUGCAUAAUUAAGAUUAAGUGGAUAAUUAGGGAAAAAGAUAAAAUUAUUGAGAAUAAAUUAGAGAUGGCAAUCAAUUUAUGACUCGUGAGUCAUGACAGAGUAUCCAUGAAAGCAGCCAUCCCAAGCCAGACCAGCUGUUUAUUUACACGGAAAAUUAAAAAUUCUUCCCUGAACUAUAGAUUAGAAAUACUUACAGCCAACCUCAAAUAUAUUAUGACAUUUGCACCCUUAAAUUCCAAAAUAUCGCACUUAACCCCCUUAUACUAAUAAAAAUUAAUAUAUUUUAUUAAGUUAUAAUAAAAUGUUCAUAUUACCUCUUUACGAAACGUAAACAUUUAUGAACAUGAAAUAUUAUGUAUAUAUUAUGUCAAUAUUAUUCUUAAUGAGUUGAGUUACUUAUCUAAUUUAUGUUUUUUUUUUCAUAUUUUCUUGGUAUAAAAACUGAAAAAUGUAAACAUAUGGGCAAUAAGGUAUAUGAAGAUUUGUCAAAAUUGAUUUUAUGUGUUAUCAAUAAGAGAAUACAAUGCCUUACGUAAGAAAUAAAAUUAAGAUAUAUAAUCCAUGAUAUGGUGAAAAUGAAAUAAAAUGAUGGUUAUCUUGUUAUGAAAUAAAACUUAAUAAGAAAAUUCAAUAUACAAAUAGCUUAUGUUUAUGCCAAAUUUCUAAAUAAAAAAUAUAAAUCAAUUAAAUAACUAAACUAUCAAUGACAAUAUUGUUAUAUCACACACAAAGAAUAUUUUAUUUUUAUGGAUGUUUGUGGUUUGUAAAAUGACUUAAAUUGUUUAGGGGCAAUACGGACUUUCAAUUAUAAUUUAACAAGAUAUAUCAAUUGUUGUUAGUAUAAGGGGUUAAGAAUAACAUCUCCAAAUUUGAAGGGACAGUGUCAUAGUCCAUUUGAGUUUGAGUGUAAGUGUUUCGCACAUAUAUUUGAGAGAGAAUCUGUAAUUUUUCCUUUAUAAAAAUGAAACUUCUCAGGCGUGAGGAUAUUUGAAUUCAUUAAUUUUCUUUCUACACUUCUUUUUAAUUCAGAAUAAUUUUAUUAUCAAAAUAUUUUUUAGUAACACGUCUAGAGCCUUAUAAUUCUUCAUCUCAAGUUUUCAACACAUUAUCCUCUCACCUCGCAUGCCAUGAUGAUACUACUGGUUACUUGUUCUUUUAAGAGAAAUAGAGAGCAUUCACUUAUAUACCACUAAUUAUAUUGUCAAUUUAUUUGCAAAAAAAUGGUACAAAUCUACAGAUGUAGAGAUAGAUCUAAAUCUGCUGGGACCUCCUGUUCAGCAAGGCAGGACCUGGCUUCUCCAUAGUCUUAACAAGAGAUGAUUCCUUGAUUUGAGGCUUCUGUAUUUCCACAGGCCAUCUGGAGACAAUCUUUGCCCUUUUUGAUCUUUUCAUCACAUCAAUGUUUGCAAGGGAAUCAAUUGGGUAAAUCCUCUCGCCCUGUCCAAAAUUCAAGAAACCUACCAUCUUGGACACAACCUUCAGCCAGGCCUGAACACCGAUAAAGAUUGAUGAAACAGGAACCAAAAAGUGUCAGUUUCAAACCAGGAGAUUGAUUUAAACCAAGCAACCACUGUGAAUAGUUAUAGCAGAGCUAGUAAAUGAAUGCUUACUAAGGUUGGGUUGAGAGUUCUGCAAGACACCUCUAUAGAAGAACGACUUACCAUCUUGGCAAGUUUGGAUCUUAUCAUUACGCAAUUUCUGGACUCCAUUCAAGCCUAAAGACAAUGAAACAUCCAAAGGGAAACCAGCGGACGGAGUGCUACCAGAUCCAGCAAAAGCUGUUGACAAAUAGCAAUUUGAAAGGUUGAGUUCAUUACUGCGAAUGUCGUAGGAAGAUUUUGAGACAUUUUGAGCAUUGCUGAUUUUACAACUAUAUUCAGAGAACUUACUUGCAUUCAUCGAGAAAGUUAAAUUUGAGCUGGACCUCUUAUGGAAAGCUAGAUUGUUCCCAACAACUUCACAAGAAUUGCCAGGUUGGUUGCUGGACAGGGGAUCAACGAUGGUGCUAGCAGAGCCAAUGGAAGCACAAGAAUUACUAGGGCAAUUCCUCCUCCAAGCUGCCUUCAACUGGACAUUAUGAGACCUAAGAUGACCUCUAAGAGAGCGAUGGUUAGCAAAUGAUUUUCUGCAAUAGAUGCAAGAAAAAGCACUAGUGCCCUUUUCUAGGUUUUCUCCGUCAGCAGCUGAAGGGAGGUUCGCCAUUGAAGUUGUAAACAAGACCCAAAAUAGGGUCAACAAGAAGAGAAGAGAAAGAGGAAAUGCAAGGGAAACCAUGCGGUGACGAAGAAUGCCAACUUUUUUCCCCGUUUUACAUUUUAGGAGAGAGAAAUGGGUCUUAUCGGUUAGACUAAUUAAUGUAAAAUGACAAUCCUAAUUAAAAUCAUUUAAGAAGAGGAAAGACAUAUACUAAAUAUGGAAAGACAUUGUUAGCAUUGAAUUAUAUGCAAUGGCAGCUAAACCUGGCCUUAUCCUUAAAGCACCAGCACC